UUGAUGCCAAGGUAUCUGCCUCUCCAACCUGAACCAAUCUGCAAUCCGGUCAUUUAACAGACCUCAAACCUGCAGUUUUUGUCUCCAAACAAGCAAAAUAAAGUGCACAUCAGUCCAAUAAUAAUAAUUAAACCAUACUACUAAACCACAACAAUUCAGAGGGUCCUCAGGCAGCAUGAAACAGGCAGCAUGAAACAGCCUGCCCCGACAAUACAGUCACAACAGGAUGGUUCUGAUUUAUUUUAUUAACAUGUUCCUAACUAUCAAAACCAGUUGAGCCCGAGAAUGAUGCAGGGCCCUCCUUCUAAUGCACAUCCAGCUUCCCAAAAGAUGGGACAUGAGGACAACGUACACGGUAGAGCUGGAAAUGACUAUUAUCACAAUUUCAACCAAGAGAUGCUUCUCUACAAAGUGAAUUGAUUACCGGAACACCUCCAUAAGUCGGACCCUGCGACAAGCUCCAUUAGAAUCAAAAUCAUGAAAUCGUACAAAAUCUCAUAAGUCAUUAUCAAAAUAAAAUUUCAAACCUUUGUAGAGUCUCCAUCGUGCUCAACAAGUCAUGAAGAAGUGUGUUGAUGCUAAACGAAGUUUGGCGGACUUCAGAGUUGGAGAUACGGUCUUUGCCAAGCUACAGCCUUAUCAACAACAUUCUGUACCCUUGCAUCAAAAUCAAAUGUUAGAGUUUAGAGAAAUUGCCAACGGUGCCGAUUCAAGUGAUGCAAAGACUUACCAAGGAAGAAACAUCAAAUUAGUCCAGCAAUUCUCAGGCGUUCCUGUUUGUGAGCUCAAACUGUCAAUUAUUGGUGCUACCAAGUGCAUGCCAAGACUAACCCAAACCCACCAUCCUUCAGAAGAAGGAGCGCAUGGUUAAACAAAAGCUAAGUGUUACAAGAUACUUCCUUGCUAAGAGCUUGUAGAACUGCUAUAAUAACAACACGAAGUCAGUUAAUUCCAAAAACGCAAACUUUCAGUGAGUAACUUAUGAGGGUAAAAGUUUUUACCAGCGGUGAAAUUUCGAAAGGAAGAGAAUUGAGACCCGGGACCACCAAGCUAGGAUGAAGACAAAAUCUCCAGGCAUCCUCCGUACGAAGGCUCCACUACACAGCAGAAAACGCAACAGAGGAAAGAGAGGGGUCCUGUAUAAAAGGCGAUUACUAUUCACGAAACCCUAAUUUUUUGAGGAGAGCGGCCACUGUUCACGAAAAGAAGAUCAGCCAAAAAACCCUAGGAACAAUAUUUGGAGACGGAGAGGAGAACACAAAAAACCCUAACGAAAAGAAAGAGGAGAAAUUCACCUUGACGCCGUUUGGACCAAGCUGAUACUGAAGCUAGAGCCGGCGAACGAGCACGCGUCCGAAUUCGAAACGACGGGAGAGAGAGCCUUUUGAAGAAGAACGUUCUAACAUCUGUCGGUGAUCUCUUCGUGAAGAGGUAAGCAUAGGUUUCAUUCUGGCUUUGGUUUUACUUUCUUCUGAAUUUCUACUUCAUCAUCGCCCUCACUGUGUAUGUUGUUGGAUUUUUUUUACUCGUGUCUGUUUCUUCACGUUCAAAUCACUUCCCUGAUUCUCCUUGGGACCAUUUGUUUCUACUUGAGGGAAGGAGGCGAUUUUUGGUUUUGGUCAAUGUUUCUUUGUUUUUAAAACGUUACUUUUAAUUAAUCUUGAAUGUAAUUGAAAACCCAUUGUUGGAAAAUACAUCGCGUGGUUAAAGUGGUUGAAGACCUUUCAUUUCACCUUCCCUCCAUUGAUUGCGCUGACAGCUAGCAGUAAGGGUCUUCACUGUUGGGCUUCUCCUAUUCAUUUGGGGCCACUCUUGGAGUGGGCCUCCUUCGACCCAAGCCCAAAUGCUCGGCCCAUGCUGGCCUUUUGUUAUUUGUUUAUUAUUUUAUUUAUUUAUUUAUUUUAUUUCGUUGUUUAUAUAUUUGGGCCACUGCAAAUCUAGCAGUAAACAGGUCUUGGCCUGGUGGAGAUCGAGAUAAUCCACCUUCUCUUUGAUCCUGGGUUCGAUACUCAGUUGUGUUGUGUUGGUUCUCCAAUAUUUUGACUGUCUCAUAUUCUCCUUUAAUUGUCACAUUUAAUUGUUUAUUCAUUUUUUAUUAUGUUAUUUUUAAUAUGACUUAGGUGAUUAUUAUUUUCCUUUAAUUCUCACAAUUAAUUAUCUAGUCUUACUACUUAACUAACAUGUUUCUAUUGUUUAUUCAUUUUUUUUAUUAUUAUGAUUAUUUUUAAUAUGACUUAGGUGAUUAUUCUUUCUUUGGGAUUUAUGUGAAUUAUUAUACUCGUGCUUGCUACUUCGUUCGUACAAAUUAUUUAUUUUUAUGUGUGAGGUAUGUUUCAAUCAUGAUAAAUCAUCUCAAUUUCAUUGAUAAAAAGAAAAACCAUUCAAAAAAUAAUAAUGAUAAAUAUCACCUAAUUCUCGAUUCGACGUCGAGCCCAUUUCCAUACCCUUGUAAGUCGAUUGCUUUUAAGCAUCGCCAUCAACCUCACAUGGCUUACUCUUGGGCCUUCUUACAAUGAGCUCUUAAGCAACAUCAACUUAACUUUCAAUAAUUUCAAACCUCCGUACUUGAUUAUUUUAAUCCAAAUUCAAACCCUUUUCUAAAGCGUGAAGAAAAAGAUUAUCCUGGAGGGAAUAUCCAGUUAUAAUCCCGAAUAUUAGGCUCAAGCUGUAAGAGCUUGCAAGCCAUAAAUAUUCGUCUUCCCUUCCACACUCUAAUAUUCAAAUCCUUUUCUAAAACAUGAAGAAAAAGAUUAUCAUGGAGGGAAUAUCCAGUUAUAAUCCCGAAUAUUAGGCUCAAGCUGUAAGAGCUUGCAAGCCGUUAAUAUUCGUCUUCUCUUUAACACUCCAAUAUUCAAAUCGUUUCCUAAAUAAAACGUGAAGAAAAAGAUUAUCCUGGAGGGAAUAUCCAGUCAUAAUCCCGAAUAUUAGGCUCAAGCUGUAAGAGCUUGCAAGCCGUAAAUAUUCGUCUUCUCUUUAACACUCCAAAUAUCCUAAUCUUUUUCUUAAUAAAGUUGGAAGAAAAAGAUUACCUGGAUGGAAUAUCCAGUCGUAAUCCCGAAUAUUAGGCUCAAGCUGUAAGAGCUUGUAAGCCAUAAAUAUUCGUCUUCCCUCCAAAACAUCCCAUCGCUCUAAAAUUGUCAAUGCGGUUUCUUCAAACCCUUUUCUCAAUCAAACCUAAAAAUACUUAAUCUUUAUUAAAUAAUUUUGCCAAUGAAGAUGGAAAUGGAACAUGGUGUAAUACCGUGCACUCCUGAGCGCUAAGGAUUCGAAGAAUAUUCUCGCUCAUCCCAGAGUUCUCGCCAUCACUCAAAAAUACAUCCAACCAGUCAAACUCUUUUUCGCCGCCGUGCGACCUAAUCAAAAAAACCUUUUCAUAAACGAAAGGUAUCUUGUCUUAAGUGAUACAAAAACAAUGUUUCGGCUGUUGGUGGAAGCCCUAGAGGCCAAUACAUUUUCGGUACUUGUAUCGAAUAAUAAAAGGCAUUCUCUUUAUUAUGGUUGACUAAUAAAGUCCCUGGAAUAGAUAGUCCGUUUAAUGUAUUAAGUGUGACUUUAUCAUGAGAACACAUUAAACAUAAGGACACUAUUUCCUAAAGUAUCCGUAGUCGAGCUUAGUGUGAAGUGGGAUAACAUUAAAGCAUUAAGACUAUUAUGUUUGUAGACUGAUGAUCACAUCUCAUGGAUCAUGGAUUAAAGAGUUAUCAAGUCUCUAAACCAUAGGUAUGAAUAUUAGAGUAAUAUUUAUACCGGAUUGACCCGCUAUGAGAAUACUUAUAGAACGUUAUGCAAAUGUCAUAAGUUAAUUCUCAUGGUGAUAUAGUGUAUUCCACUCUUCGACCUGAAACCACUAUGGAUCCUAGGUGUGGAGUCGAGUGCUUUAUUGCUGACAACGUUGUCCGUAACUGGAUAACAUAAAGACAGUUGAUGGGUACUCCACGAAGCAUGCUGAGGGACAUGAGUGACCUAGAUGGAAUAUUGCCCAUCCUGCAUAACAGGAUAAAUGUCUAUGGGCCCAAUAUUGAACUGGACAAGGAUGACACGGUCUAUGCCUUGUGUUCAAUAUAGACAUAAGGGCAAAAAGGUAAUUAUACACAUAAGUAUUAUCACAGAAGGAAUUGUGCAGAUCACAUGACAUUUUCGUGUCUUGGAUGCAGUUGAUGUGCUGCUAGAUACGCUCACUGUUAUUAUGUUAAAUACAUAUUUAAUAUAAUUGCCAACGCCGCGAAACCUACAGGGCUCACCACACAAGGACGGAUUGAUGAGAGAUUAGAGUACUAAGGAAUAUCGUAAGGUACGGUGCCCUUAAGUGGAUUAUAGAACAUCGUAGGUACGGUGUACUUGAGUAGAAUACGAAAUAUGGUAAGGUAGCAUGGCUUAAGUGAUUUUGGCAUAUAUAAGAUCAUGGGCCAAAAUACACUUAAGUGGGCUUUUAGCUUGAAGCCCACACAAGUGUUCUAUAAAUAGAACCCCUUGUGCAGAAGCACUAAGUGCGUGCAUUCUUUCGUUUUUCUUCUCUCUCUCGCUCCUUACUCAAAGCCUUCAUUCGUUACAGCUUAGCACUGAGAUUGAAGGAAACCGUUCGGUGGACUGAGUAGAGACGUUGUCAUCGUUCAACGUUUCGCUGAUCGUUUCGUGGAUCUGCCAUCAAAGGGUUUUUGAUGCGUUGCAAGAGAAUCUGCACAAAGGUUCAACCGUCACAAGAGGUAAUAUUCUAUCACUGAUCAUGACCAUUCGUAAGGAUCUCUAAGAGGAGAAAUUCUUUAAUUUCCGCGUGCCGCUAUUCAGGUCGCGAAUUCUCCUUCAUCGGCCACAAUUGUGUAGUCCCGAUAGUGCGCUUUCGAAUGUAAUUUAUAAUCCGUUCGAUGUGUGGGUAUGCGGUCCUACUCCUCUCUGUUUGGGUAAAACGAGUGUUUGUCGAUUAAUACAAUAUAGCUCUUCGCUUAAAUCGACCAACAAACAACCAAUUUUCUACCCAGACUACGUAAGCCUUCGAUUUCUUCUUUUGAGAUACGUGAGCGAGCAGGUUUUUAAAUCGUUGUCAGCGCCCCUCAAUAAAAACUUCGGUUUAGUCCUUCGUCAAAAAUCCAAAAAACCAUUCUCGUUCUCAUCCUUUCUUUCUUCCCACCUAAUAUCUGAAAAGCCUAACCAUUUCAACUAACACUAACGCAGACACUACCUAAUGGUUCCCGUUGAGUUCACAACGUCGUGAGGGGUGCCUAAUACCUNNNNNNNNNNNNNNNNNNNNNNNNNNNNNNNNNNNNNNNNNNNNNNNNNNNNNNNNNNNNNNNNNNNNNNNNNNNNNNNNNNNNNNNNNNNNNNNNNNNNNNNNNNNNNNNNNNNNNNNNNNNNNNNNNNNNNNNNNNNNNNNNNNNNNNNNNNNNNNNNNNNNNNNNNNNNNNNNNNNNNNNNNNNNNNNNNNNNNNNNNNNNNNNNNNNNNNNNNNNNNNNNNNNNNNNNNNNNNNNNNNNNNNNNNNNNNNNNNNNNNNNNNNNNNNNNNNNNNNNNNNNNNNNNNNNNNNNNNNNNNNNNNNNNNNNNNNNNNNNNNNNNNNNNNNNNNNNNNNNNNNNNNNNNNNNNNNNNNNNNNNNNNNNNNNNNNNNNNNNNNNNNNNNNNNNNNNNNNNNNNNNNNNNNNNNNNNNNNNNNNNNNNNNNNNNNNNNNNNNNNNNNNNNNNNNNNNNNNNNNNNNNNNNNNNNNNNNNNNNNNNNNNNNNNNNNNNNNNNNNNNNNNNNNNNNNNNNNNNNNNNNNNNNNNNNNNNNNNNNNNNNNNNNNNNNNNNNNNNNNNNNNNNNNNNNNNNNNNNNNNNNNNNNNNNNNNNNNNNNNNNNNNNNNNNNNNNNNNNNNNNNNNNNNAUUUCAACUAACACUAACGCACACAACUAACCUAAUGGUUCCCGUUGAGUACAACGGACGUGAGGGGUGCUAAUACCUUCCCCUUGCGUAAUCGACUCCCGAACCCUGAUAUUGGUUGCGAUGACCAUAUCUUAUCCUUUCUUUUAGGGGUUUUAUCGAUAUUUUCCCUUUCCCAUUUUUGGGAAUAAGUAAAGUUCGGUGGCGAGUCUGUUCAGUCCAUCAUUGCGAGCGUGCGAUCGCGCUUCGCUUAAAGUCGUAUCCCCAUUUUUUCGAGGUGCGACAGACUCCAACUGCAACUCUUCAUGCUUAUUUCUUAAAGCAUGGAAACUCUCUUCCCACAUGUCCUUUUCUUGCUUCAUCUUGAUGAGCGCGUCUUCCAACUCCUCUACAUCUUGGUUAGGGAGAGUUAAUGGGUCAACCACAACCAUAGACAUAGGUCUUUCACAAGGAUAAGGCAUCUUCAACUCCAUAGCUCUCUUCUUCACCCAAAGAGUGUAAGUUUCCAAAGCUACACAAUUGCGCGGACCAAGCUCGGAUCUUCCUUUCCUACGCACAUUAUGCCAAGCAUGCACAACCUUUUGCUUCAAAUGUUGGGGAUCUUUACCCUCUUGAUAGAAAAGAACUUCUAUGAAUCUGGAAAUAUAAUUCAAGCGGCCGAGAAAACCUCUGACUUGCUUCUCAGUUUUGUGCGCAGGCAUCUCUUGUAUUGCUUUGACCUUAGCAGGAUCAACUUCAAUACCCUUCUCGCUGACAAUAAAGCCCAACAACUUACCAGAACGAACACUAAAAGUAUACUUAUUGGGAUUCAAGCAGAGUUUAUACUUCCUUAAACGCUGGAAUAGCUUCAACAAAUGCUCAACAUGUUCCUCUUCAUUAAUUGAUUUAGCAAUCAUGUCAUCGACAUAAACUUCAAUCUCUUUAUGCAUCAUAUCAUGAAAUAGAGUGGUCAUUGCUCUCUGUAGUGGGGUAUUCGUUACCAUUAGAGAUGUUGACUAAAUCCAAGGUAAGCCAUACAAGUCGAGUCACCACCGCACUUCUAUUUAUCUAAAGGAAUGGUUAGAAAGAGAACAAAAACCUAAAAGUUUUAUCGAAUCAAAAACUAGUAAAAAUGUCAGAGAUCGGGGUAAGGGGGUUGGUUAUGCAAUGGGAAGGUUUUAAGCACCCAAAACAUCCAAAAGGAAUGGUUAGAAAGAGAACAAAAACCUAAAAGUUUUAUCGAAUCAAAAACUAGUAAAAAUGUCAGAGAUCGGGGUAAGGGGGUUGGUUAUGCAAUGGGAAGGUUUUAAGCACCCAAAACAUCCUAGGUACUCCAAUCAUUGAAGCAAAGUCUUACCACAAGUCGUAUCACAGUGAUAUUGGGAACUUCAUUCCAAAGUCUUACCACAAUCAUUGAAGCAAGUGUAGCAAGAGCAUCUGCCAUCCGAUUCUCAUCUCGAUGUAUUUGCAGUGGAGGGAAGAAGAAGAAUGGCUAAAUUCCUAAUCAUACAAGAGAUGAGGGAUAAGAAACAAGACCACAAACGGAGUUCCUCUCUUGAGAUCAUAUUGAUGAUCCAAGUAGCUCCCAUCCUUAAGAAUAUGCAAGCAAAAUAAUUGGUAAGCUCAAGCAAUCAACAUAAUCAAAGAAGAUCUUAGAAGAUCCCCCAAUGUCUCUUGUAUCUUUCACUUUGGAUGAACAUGGCAAUGAUUCUUCAAUUUGAUCUCUCAUAGGAUCCCCUAGCACAAAAGCACACACAUCAAAGAGUUUUAUGAAGCAAAUCAAGAAUGGACAAGAGUGAGUUUAUAGACUUGGUUCUUCUAAUCCAUCUUCAACAUUACGGUCCUUUUACUCCAAUUUGCAUAGGGAAUGUCCUAGAAACUAAGUCCAUUUGUCCAUUUCUUUGCAUUUGGUCCACAACAAACAAAACAAAACACAAGCACAAUAAUAUAUACAAAAUUAUGUGCUCAAGUGAGCAAAAGGCAAAUUGCAUUAACAUAAACAUGUGCUCAAAUGAGCAAAGGAAAAAGCAAAUGAAUAAUAUGUACAAGAAUAGUAAAUUGCAUAAAUGUAAAGAGCAAGAAAUUGCAUUAACAUAAACAUGUGCUCAAAUGAGCAAAGGAAAAAGCAAAUGAAUAAUAUGUACAAGAAUAGUAAAUUGCAUAAAUGUAAAGAGCAAGAAUUAAAUGUUAAUAGUUAAUGGUUAGUGUUAAUAGUUAGUGUGCUAUAAGGCAAAUUUAGCGCUAUGUUAAGCAUUCGUAAUUGGACUUAUGUAGAAGUCACAACUAUCUGAGGCCGGUCAAUAAUAAUGUAGGCAUCAAUACAAGUUAGAGGUCUUGAUUGGUGAAUCAAACUCCAUCAACUUGCCAUGCCAAAAAGAAGGUGAGAAAUGAUCUUGUAUUGAUUUAGGUUCUUUGCAUGAUUUAGGAAGCAAUCUAUCCUUAAUGCAAAUCCAUUCACUUGAUCCAUGCUCAAGAUGAAUUAGAUUUGAAUCAAGGAAGAUUAAACCUCCAUGUAUCAAUGCUAACCACCAAUCUUUAACUCAUUGAUCAAAAAAAGAAAAAGAAGAAGAAGAAGAAGAAGAUGAAGAAUUAAAGUGAAAGGAAGAUUAAACCUCCAUGUAUCAAUGCUAACCACCAAUCUUUAACUCAUUGAUCAAAAAAAGAAAAAGAAGAAGAAGAAGAAGAAGAUGAAGAAUUAAAGUGCAUUAAUGGAAAUGGUAUGUAUAAUCAAUAAUCAUUUACCAAAGAUAAAGAAGAUCAAGGUCAAACAAUAGAAAACAGAAGCAAGAUGAAGAUUAGAAGUCAAGAAACAAAUAAAAUAUUUUUGGCAUUUUUUAAUAUUAAAAUAAAACUUGAAUUCAAAUAAUAAAGAAAGGUCAAACUUCAAAUUCACUUCAAAUCAACUUUGAAAAGCCCAAGUGAAUUAUCCCAAGUUCAACAAGGUCAAACAAAGUUUGACAAAAAAUUUCAGCAUUUUUAGAAGUCAGAAGCUAUUUUAAAUCAAUUAAAAAUGCAUAAAAAUGACCUAAUUGAACUAAAAUCUCAAAUGAAUCUCAAAUCAUUUAAUAAAUUGAUAAGAAUAUUUUUCAUAGAUCUAUCAUUAUUCAAAGAGGUUGGAAAAAUAUUUUUGGAUUUUUUGGAUAUCAAAAACUAUUUUAAAUGAAUUAAAAAUAGGGUAAUGCUAACUUGUGCCCUAGGGGCACAAGAUAAGACACCCACUUAUAGAAAUUUUGUAUUGAAAAAAUCAAUUAUAAAAUUAAUUUUAUACCUUGUAUUAAAAUCAAUGCACAAUUUCCAACAUAAAAUUACUUUCUUUAGUUCUUAUCUUGUGCCCCUAGGGCACAAGUUAGCAUUACCCUUAAAAAUAAGCAGAAAAGAGAAAAUUACUAAAAAAUAUAAAAUGAUAAAAUAAAAAAUAUUAAAAAAUAUUUUUAGAAAGUACAAAUUAAAAGGAGAAAAAUGAAAUUGGUCCCAUAGUUUUUGGACCAAUUAUGAGAGAGAUAUGAACUUUAGAAAUAAAAUGGAAUUAAAAGAAAUAAAAGAAAAUAAAAAUCAGAAAUUAAAAAAAGGAAAAAGCGUGAGCCAUUGGAUCUGAGCUCAUUAAUUGAGUCGGCAGAUCAAAGAGUCCACACGCGCGCGCCUACCAUGCUCCUUAGUCAAUGCAUCACAUGUGGCAUUAUGGAAAGUCAUAACAUGGCACAGUUAAGAUUCAAUCUGGAAACUAAAAUGGAAGGCUCUGAUUGAAUCUAGAGAACAGAAGGUGGCCAGCGCCACCGUCUUCUCCGGCCAGCUCCGGUGAGGUUCAAAAAUUGCAGAGGAAAAAAUGGCAACCAAAAUGCACGAUCCAGGCAUCAUUCGAAAGCUGGGGUGAUGUACAUCACCCCUGUACCACUCAAUUCCAUUCUAGAUCUCUAGAUUGAGAGAAACCAGAAGUGGAAAUUCUGUGGUGUUCAUGUGAACUUCAUGAUUUUCAAAAAUUGAAAGCAUAGCAAUGUUGCCUCUAUGCAGAGGACUUCAGAUUACAUAAUAACAAAGCAAAUGGAACACUAUACAAGCUGGUUCGAAGCGAAUAACAGUUGAAGUUAACCUUUGAAUUGCAAGGAUUUGAGUCAAGAUCUUUGGAUUCUUUUGCAAACAGUAGGCACUAUGGAUCAAGAAGAGAAGGUUUAGGAACUUUGAGAUCUGAAGAUUGAUCAAUGAAAUCAAAAUUCAGAUCUGAAAAAUUGGAAGAGAAAUGAAAUAGUUCCUUUAGUGAUGGCUAGGGUUUCAAUUCAGCAGCAAUUGGGGCGCCUUCAGGUUGCUAAAAUGAAAGGCCAAGGCAAUGUAUUUAUAGCUGAAGCAAUGCUGAAUGCAUGAAUUAAAAUUUGCAUGAAUGGAAAGGGCCUCCAUGCAUGGGCCUGUACAGGUGCAUGAAGGACCCAAUUCCACUUGGAAAUGGAAGCUUAUGCAUGAUGUAAGUAUAAUGGACAUACAUAUUGGAUUGUAUGAGCUCAUGCAUGGCAAUUGAAAUGAUUUUCACAAAAUGCACUAUUACAUUCAAGUCUUCGAAAAUGCCAUGUCCAAAAUUGAAAUGCAACCUUAUGAGUAAUGGUUGGAAUCUUUAUUGAAUAAGGAACAAUGUUAUGUUGAUCAAAACUCCAUUUGGGCCUUGGAAUUAGUGAAAAUUGAACUUGAUGUAGGGUGCAAAACAUGCAUAUGUGGAAUUUUCAAAAUUGGCCAAAGUUCAAGCCUCCUGUCUCAGUGAUGCAGCUCCAAAUGACAAAAUAUUCAUAAGAAAGUUGUAGAUCUUAUCAAGGAAAAAUUUGACUUAAUUUUGCAUCAUUUGGAUUUUUGAUGAAGAAGUUAUGGGCACUUGAAGUUGGACUUUUUCACAUUUCAAUGCAUUUGGUCCAAAGUGACCUAUAAUGUUUUGCAUUAUCACAUGUAUUUCUUUUGAGAUUUUGCGAUUUUGCUCAACAUAACAUUUGAAGUAGGCAUUCUAAUAUUUCCAAUGAAUUUAAUCCCACCUCCAAAUCAUGAAAAAUUAAUGAGUUAUUUUCUUGGGGAAGUUGACCCAAAAUUAGGGUUUCAGUCAAAAUGACCUAUAAUGUAUUGGAAUGGAUGAUGACCUUCCAAGCUUCAAAUAAAUUUUUGAUGAACAUGAACGUUGUUCAUAUGGUCCUUAAGAACAUUUUUUCUUUUGGGGUCAUCUCCAUUUGUCAAACACAUAAAAAGUUAGGUCUCAGUGUAUUUCAGAAUAGUCAGAUGAAUUGACUGAUCGGCUUCUCAAGUCCAAUAAUCAUAUCUUGAUGAAUUGAUGAUUGAGGACACUCAAAUAAGUUCAAAUAUGCAUUAAAUGAUGAAUUAAAGAACUUCCUUUGAUUUCAUUUGACCAUGGGUUGAGGUUGCUUCAUGAGCAAGGCAUAGUUGAUGAACAAAUGAAUUAGGGUUCCCUUGGGAAACAAGCCUCAAACCCUUUGAUUUGCUUUGAUCAAAAUGAUGAAUGGAGAUACUUGGGAGGCAUAUUUGAUGGAUGAGAGAUUUGGGAACCAUUGCCAUGCUUUCCUUCAUCUUCAAUUGGCCCUAUCAAUGCAUAUAGGAUCUCCUAGAGGCUUUUAGACCUUGUGACUGCUCAAGCUACAAACAAGAGAUGUUAGUGACAUAUUUUUGUGCUUUUGGUUAGUAGAUAAAAAUGAGAAAAGCAAUGAUAUAUAAUUCAAGCAUGCCUGGUGAUCUCAAACCAACUCACAAGAGGUCCCACCCAAAAGUAAGGAGCCAAGAUGCUUAUGAUCCUUGAGGCCAUGUAAGUGCCAUGUUAUGAUGCCAUGAGGGAUCUUAGGAUCAAAAAUUAGGGUCUUACACUCUCUAGUAAGUUACACCUGCAUUCUUUAGACCGAAAGGCAUCACUCUAUAACAGAAUGUUCCCCAGGGUGUAAUGAAUAUGGUCUUCUCCAUAUCUUCGGGUGCCAUCUUAAUCUGAUUAUAUCCGGAAAAUCCAUCCAUAAACGAAAAGACUUUGAUAUUAGCAGUAUUGUCUACCAACAUAUCAAUGUGUGGCAGAGGGAAAUUAUCUUUCGGACUUGCUUUAUUUAAAUCUCUAUAGUCAACACACAUGCGGACUUUUCCAUCUUUCUUUGGCACAGGCACGAUAUUGUCCACCCAUUGCGGAUACUCAGCUGUCACAAGGAAACCGAUAUCAAUCUGCUUCUGCACUUCCUCUUUGAUCUUCACAACCAUAUCAGGAUGCGUUCUUCUCAACUUCUGCUUGACUGGCAGACAUUCUUACUUCAACGGAAAUCUAUGCUCCACAAUCUCAUAAUCCAAACUAGGCAUGUCUUUAUAGGACAAAGCAAACACAUAUGAAUAUUCUCGGAGAAGAUCAAUCAACCCCUUCUUAGCAUCUGGACACAUUCGAGACCCAAUCUUGACUUCCUUCACAUCAUCUUCGGAACCCAAGUUGACUAGCUCAAUCUGCUCUUCUAACGGCUGAAUAAUCUUUUCAUCUUGCUCAAGAAGACGAGACAAUUUAUCACUCACUUCUACAUCGCUUUCCUCCUCGGCCUCAAACACAGGGAAUUCAAAAUAUGGAGUAGGAGAAGGAUCAUUGUAUUCAAUGGGGUUAGGAACCAACCUGCAUAAUGAUUUGAUAUUUUGAUUUUAGAGAAGUGAAUCUGUGACCAAAUAUCAUGCAGAUGGACAGUUAUAUUGUGUAUUUAUGUUUUUUGCGAUUACCAUUUUCAGAAUAAAGCAAAAAGUAAAAAUAAACAUCAAAGAUGUUGAUGAAUAGAAUUAAUUUUAUUGAUGAUCAAUCUAAAAUUCCCAUACAAUGUUCACUUCUCCCUUAGGCAUAGGAGAAGGAUUUUAAAAUAUAAAAGCAAUUACUUAGAUCGAUGCAAAACAACAGGAAUAUCAACGGCAGUCCAGUUGUUGCAUGUCUUUCCAUGCGUUACAAAGUUGGUGUAGUCUUCCUCUUCGCUAUCCUCUAGCAUAGAAGCUAAGUGUUGUUCAUUGCCAUGAAUGAACCCUCAUCUACAGAAGCUGAGUUGUAUAUUUUCAGAUCUUGUAGUUGAUGAGCCUUUCUGGAACCCCAAACCAGUUCUGCCUUUGUUGUCAGAGACCUCUACCAUGCGCUGUAACACCCCGAAUUAAAUAAGAGGAUUAUUUAAUUAAGUUAAUAAUAUAUUUAAUAAUUUAAUUAAAUAAAUUGAAUUAUUGGAUUAUUAUUAAUAUUAUUAUUAUUGGAAUAUAAUUAAUAGUGGAAAAUAUAAUAGUUGGAAUGAAAAAAGGGUUCAUUGUUGGUAAGAGAGUUCACGUGAAACAGGAAAGCGGCUGAAAGGUGAAAGGGAAAAGAGCAAAGGGUUGAAGAACGGAAACUUGAAGCUUAGAGAUUGCCGAUUAUCUCAGUAAGGGGGUUUAUGUCGUUUAAUGGUAUUAUAGAUUAACAUGUCAUGGGUAGUGAUAGCGGUGAAUUGACCCUAUUGGGAAUUUAGAAUGCUGAGAAAAUUGUAUGAUUAAGUUAUGAAAACUGAAAUUGAAUCGAUAAUUGUAUGUCGUGAUUUCGAUAAUGUAGCUGUUUACGGAGAUUGAAUCGGAGGUCCGGAAGUCCUCCAACGGCGGAAAUAGCGGAGACCCUGCAUUCGCCUGUGUAGCAGGACUGACUGUUUGCCUGCGUUAACCGGUACCCAGGGUGUUAACCGGUUAACACUGUUAUAUUUUGUGGAAAUGUGCUGUUUUGCCUGUUAACCGUAACCCAGGGUUAACCGGUUAACACGUGCGUUUUGCCAGAAAAAUUUUUCCUGCGUUAACCGGUUAACCCAGGGCGUUAACCGGUUAACACUGUUAGGAAAUGGAAAAUCUUGAAUUUUAAAGUGUGAAUAUAAUGCGUUGGCCUACGUUAAUUCUGAGAGUAAUUUGUUGAGAUGUAAUAGAAGUGUUGAUACAAAUAUGUUGAUAAGUGUGUUAAAGUGUUUGAAAAUGAGUAUGUAGGCUUGUGACCAAAGUUGAUUUUAAGUUGAUUUUGUUGGAAGUUGUUGUGUGAUAUUAAUUAGUUGUCGACAGUUUAGAGUCUGUAUGGCCAUGUACAUUCAUAUGCAUUAAGUUCGGAGCUGCUCACACACGUGGCCGGAUUGGCAAAUUUUAAUUGAAAGUUGAAGGUUAUGCUUGAUGCCCACUAAAAUGGCAAUGAUUUUUAAGUGGCAGUUACUCCGAAUGUACCACAUGCAUGACGAGUCGAGUCUCAUUUGAGUUGCAUUUAUUGUUGUUCUUGAUAAUAAUAUUGAGUGAUACUGCCGUUGCGUAGUAUGUGUAAUCUGAUUUGGGUGAUGAAACGUGUUAAAUUACUUAGCAUUACAUGAUGAAUUAUAAGGCUAUUAUAUUGAUGUGAAAGACUCCACCUUACAGUUUAUUUCAGGAACGGCAAUGAGUCGAGUAGAAGCUAAUGCUUGGAGUCUAGUGUAGUGCUUUAGUGGGUCAUGCUCUGAUAGAUGUACAAUCGGGACGGGACGUUUUAAUUAUUUUGUGUCGGUAUGUUGUAAUAUCUGACAUAAUUCGUUAAGUCUCCAUCGCUGCGUAUUUUGAAAUGUCUUAUGGUUGAUAUAAAAGAGCAGUGACAGAUGUUUUUCGAAGAUGGGACACCCUGUUUUGUAUUACAUCUGAUAUAUAUAUAUAUAAUACUUGUGUUGUUAUUAAAUAUUUGGGGUAUUUUAGAAGGGUGUUACAUUAGUGUACAGAGCAAGGUCGGUCUGCGCCAGUUGUCGUGUCGUUACUGUCUAACAAUUGUGUAAUGUUACUAGUCUAAUUUAAGUUGGUUGUAUGAUAAGUUGUGAAAGGCUGAAGGCAAUGAGCCUGCAGAUGCUGCCGAAGCAAGCAUGCACAAGCGGUGCAGAACUUGCCAAAUGCUGGUGGGGAUGCUGGAUCACGUAGCUUGGCGACUUUUCAAAGGAGAGUCCGCCGGUGUUAAAGGGAAGCAUGAUCCGAUAGCAGCCUUGGGAUGGUUAAAGAAAUGGAGAGGAUCUUCCGGUUAAUGCAUGCACCCAGCUCCAGAAGUGCGGUAUGGUACUCACAUGCCAGCAGUCGAAGCUGAUGAUGGGGCAGAGACUCACGAGAAGUUGACAGUGGCAGUGAAGACUAUACUAUGGAUCAGUAUUCCGUAGGGAAUCCUGAAGAAAGUAUUAUCCGAAGAAAUGUCCGUGGUAAGAAGAAAUCGAGUUCCUUGAGUGAACAAGGAAACAUGUCUGUCAUGAUAGCUGCAAAUUUGUGAAGCUGUCCAAAUUUAUCCUCAUUACACUGGUCUGGUGCUGAAUUUCAAAGUGCCACAAGUUUGAGAACGGAUUGCGCUCUGAAAUAAGAAGGCUGUUGGUAUAGAAGAUACGCAUUUUUACUGAAUUGGUUGAUAGCUGCAGGAUAUUUGAGGAAGACAAUAAGCCUCAUUACAAGGUUGUCAGUGCCGCAAGGGAAAGCAGCAUCAAAACGUGGCAAGCCGUAAGAUCCCAGUGGGAAAAGGGAAACAAGGAGCUGCUCCGGCUCAGAGAACUAGUAGGGGAGGUCUCCUGCGGUAUAGUUGCUUCAAAAUGUGUCAGGCUGGUCAUAAGACUAAUGGUAUGCACUGCUGAAGAAAGAGGUGUUUCUCGCUGUGUAAGACAUGUCAUCGCAUAGCUGAUUGCAAGCCACAGGAAAUGAUUGUUUUAAUUGGGCGAAGAAGGCAUAUUGGAAGUCAGUGCAGAAGCCAAAGGAAUCUCAGACUGGGAAGGUGUUCGCAUUGACCGGAACUCAAACCUCCUGUGAGACAGACUAUCCGAGGUACAGUCCUCAUAAAUGGUACUCUUUAUACUAUUAUUGAUACGGUGCUACCACUGUUUUAUUUCUGCUAACUGUGCUCGAAGACUGGUUUAAAAUGUCCCUUGGACGGUGAAUUGAUUGUUGAGACCCCAGCUAAGGAUCAGUAACUAAACUUCUUGGUAUGUUAAAAUGCUUUGUCGAGCUCGAUAAAGAUUUCUGUGAUUUAGUAUGCUUGCAGUUGGAAGGAUGGAUGUAAUUCUGUAUGAACUGGUUAGAGUGAUUAUGUUCAUAUAAAAUGUCAUCAAAAUCGUGAAAGUUUUCCACUCUGUAAGGAAGGACAUUGACUUAUGCCUUCAGAGAAAUUGCGAAAAUUGUGAAAGAAGGAGCUCAGAUUGUUCCUGAUGGCGACGUUGUCGGUUGAAAGUAAAGCUAAGAUAGAGAACUGUUUAGUGGUGAAAGAAUUCCCUGAAGUUUUCCUGAUGAAAAUUCCCUAAGUGUGCCGCAGAGAGAGGGAAAGUUGAAUUUAAUAUCGAUCUGGUACUGGGUACUAGGCAGUUUCGAUGGCAGAGUAUAGAGAAUGUCGCAUCUGAAUUUGUUAUGAAUAAAGAAGCAAUUGGAAGACUUACUUAGAAGAAGUUUAUAAACAAGUUGUCGCGUGGGGAGCCCAGUGUCUAUGCUAAAGAAGAAAAGAGGGUAGUAUGAGGCUUUGUAUUGAUUAUAGACACAAUUGAAUAAAGUAAUCAAAGAAAAAGUAUCACACCGAGAUAGAUGAUUGAUGGACCAGAUUAGUGGGCUGCUUGUGUUCAGUAAAAUUGAUUUGAGAUCGGGCCUAUCAUCAGAUCAGGGUGAAAGUGAAGACAUCAGAAGACACGUUCAGAAUCGAUGGACAUUAUGAGUAUUCUGUGAUGCCUUUCGGUGUGAACAAUCGCGCCGGGAGUAUUUAUGGAAUACAUGAAUCGUAUUUCCAUACUAUACUGGAUCAUUAUUGGUAGUAUUUAUUGAGGAUGAAAUUGAUUUACCUAAGUCCGAAAGAGAGACACAAGAACAUUUGAGAUUAGUAUUGGAGGUUUUGAAAGAUAAGAAUUGUAUGCGAAGUUGUCAAGUGUGAGUGGUUAAGAGAAGUCAGUUUUCUCGGCCAUGUAAUUUCAGGAAAGGUAUUGCUGUAGAUCCUUCCAAGGUAGAAGCUGUAUUGCAAUGGAAACUCCUAAUCGGUUACCGAGAUUAGAAGCUUUUGGAUUAGCUGGAUAUAGAGAAGAUUAUUGAAGGAUUUCUAAGUUAGCACUUCCGUUGACUAAUUAACUUGCAAAGGUAAGCUUUCGUGGGAUGUCAGUGCGAAGAGAUUUUAAUGAAUUAAAGAGGAGAUUGACGCGGCGCGGUUUUGACUUUGCAAUCCGGAGGACCGGUUAGUAAUUUACUGUGAGCUUCAUUGAUGGGUUUGGAGGUGUGCUCAUAGCAAAAAAAAGAGUAAUGCUUAUCGACGUGCGACAGUUGAGAAUCAUGAAAAGAACUACCUACGCAUGAUCUUGACUGCUGCUGUAGUGUUGCGCUAAAAUUGGAGGCAUACCUUUAUGGUUCAGAUUCGAAGUUUUCAGCGAUCAUAAAGUUUAAAGUACUAUUGAUCAGAAAGAGACUGAACAUGAGACAACGUAGGUGGGCGAUUGCUUAAGGAUUAUGAUUUCGGUUAUUAAUCAUCAUCCAGGAAAAGCAAAUGUUGUGCGGAGCUUAAAGUAGAAAGACCUUGCAUGUGUGGCAAUGAUGCAUUAAAGGAGUUGGAAUAAUUGAGCAAAAUUCGGGAUAUGAGUUGGUUGCGAAGUAACACCGCAGAGUGGAUGCAGGAAUGUAAAGAAUUAAUAAGAUUUAUGGAUUAGUAUCCGAGAGCACAGAAGUUGGAUGUGAAAAUUAGUAGAUAUACCUUAAUCGUGUGGUCAACUCAGAGAAAAGUGACUUAAGGUACGCGAGAGUGUUGUGAAUUAGGGGAAAGAAUUGUCUUCCUGAUGAGCGAUUUUGAGAGAAGUAUUUUAGAGGAGGGUCAUAGAAGCAGGUUCGAGUAUCAUCCAGGAGCUACUAAUGUAUCAGGAUUUAAAGAAAUUAUUUUGGUGGCCGGAAUGAAAGAAAUAUGGCUCUUUGUGUAUGCGUGCUUAACUUGUCAGAAGUCGAAGAUUGAGCAUCAGAAGCCUGCUGGGUGAUGCAACCGUGGAAGUUUCCCGAAUGAAAUGGGAAUAGGCAUCUAAUGACUUUUGUAACGGGGCUGCCGGCUACCUUACAGGCAAUGAUUCGAUUCUGGGUGAUCGUUGAUGAGGCUCACGAAGUGGCUCACUUGUACCUAUUAACAUCACACUACCCAACUUGCAAGUUGGCAGAGAUUUACAUUCGAGUAGUUGUACAAGUGCAUGGUGUCUCUCUGUUAUUGUGUGGACAGGGACCGAGGUACGAUGCGGAUGGGGGGUUUGGAAAAGUCUGCAAGAGAUUGUCUGGGAUCCUAAGUGCAGGUUAGAGUUCGGCAUAUCAAUUCCUCAAAACUGAUGGCCAAACUGAGAGAACUAUUCAGUCAUUGGAAGAUACUGAGCGGCUGUGUUCUUGAAACAAGGAGGUACGUGGAGGACAUUAGCUCCAUUGAUCGAGUUCACAUACAAUAAUAAGUUGACCAAUUCCUAAGUAUCGGAAGUGACGCCUUUUGAAGCAUUAGAGGUCGUAGAUGUAAGAGACCCCUUUGUGAUGGAGCAGAAUCUGUGACGGUGUAGUACUGGACCAGAGUUAGUUCGAGAAACUACCGAGAAAGUGAAGAUUAUACCGGGAAGACAGAUGAAAGCUUCUCAGAGUAGGCAGAAAGAGUUAGCCAUGACAAGCGGAAGAAGUUUAGAAUUUCAAGCGUGUGACCAUGUGUUUUGAGAAGUCACGCCUGUGGACCGGAGUUGGGAGGGCUUUGAAGUCUAAAAGCUCAUCCUCGCUCAUGUCCAUAAUCAGAUUUAGAACGGGUUGGAAAGUGGCUUAUCGAAGGCAUUACCACUAAUCUUACAUCGAAUCUGGCAUGAUGUUAUCCAUGUGUCCGCAGCUCGAGGAGUAUUCCCCUUUUUAGAUCCGUCUCAUGUGUGUUAGUAUGGAGAUGUGCAAGGCGAGAUAAUUAACAGUAGAGACAAAGCCUGUACGAGUGAAGAUCCGUGAAACAAAGCCUUCGGGAAAAGAGAUUGUUGUUGGUUAAAGUCGUUGGUUGGAGCUGCGGGCGAAAGCAUCGAAUGGGAAUACUUGAAAGUCGGAUGAAGGAGUCUUAUCCGAUUAUUUGCUUGAGGUAGUUUCGAGGAAAAACUCGUUUUUAGUAGGGGAGAGUUGUAACACCCCGAAUUAAAUAAGAGGAUUAAUUUAAUUAAGUAAUAAAUAUUUAAUAAUUUAAUUAAAUAACAUUGAAUAUAUGGAUUAUUAUUAAAUAUUAAUUAUUAUAUUAUUUGGAAUAAUAAUUAUAGUGGAAAUAUAAUAGUUGGAAGAGUGAAAAAAAGGGUUCAUUGUUGGUAAAGAUUUCACGUGAAACAGAGAAAGCGGCUGAAAGGUGAAAAGGGAGAAAAGCAAAGGAUGAAGAACGGAAAAGCUUGAGCUAGAGAAUUGCGCGGAUUAUCUCAGUAAGGGGUUUAUCGUCGUUUAAUGGGUAUAUAGAUGAACAUGUCAUGGCUAGUGAUAACCGUUGAAUUGACCUAAUGGGAUUAGAAUGCUGAGGAAAAUUGUGAUGAUUAAGUUGUAGAAAACUGAAAUGAAUCGAUAAUUGUAUGUGCCGUGAUUUUCGAUAAGUACUUUUUACGGAAGUUAAUGCGGAGGUCCGGAAGUCCUCCAACGGCGGAAAAUGCGGAGAACUCUGCAUUCUGCCUUGUGUUAGCGAGGUACUGCGUGCCUGCGUUAACGGGUAACCCAGGGUGUUAACCGGUUAACACGUGUUAUAUUUGUGGAAAUGUGCUGUUUUGCCUGCGUUAACAACGGAUACCCAGGGCGUUAACCGGUUAACACUGUCUGCGUUUUGCAGAAGAAAUGAUUUUUGUCCUGCGUUAACCGGUUAACCAGGGCGUUACCCGUUAACACUGUUUGGAAUAUGGGAAAAUUGAUAUUUUAAAGUUGUGAAAUAAUUGGCGAUUGGGCAUUACCGUAAUUCUGAUGAGUAAUUUUGUUGGAUUAUGUUUGAAGUGUUUGAUACAAAUAUUGUUAGAUAGUUGUGUUAAAGUUGUUGAAAUAGGAUUUGCGCGCCUGUGACGGACAUGUCAGCGUCAUGGGGCUUGGUGAGCCCAAAGUAUUUAUAAGUUGACUUUUGAUUGGAAACGUUGUGUGUUGAUAUUAUUAUUAUGUUGUCGACAGUUAGAGUCGUGAUGCAUCAGUACAUUCAAUCAUGCAUUAAGUCGAAGCUUUGCUCACACCGACGUUGGCCUGGAUGGCAAAUUUUAAGGUUGAAAGUUAAGGAUUGCUUUGAUGCCCAUAUAAAAUGGCAAUGAUUUUAAGUUGGGAGUUUUACCCGAAUGUCCGACAUGCAUGACGAGUUUCGUCUCAUUUAGUUGCAUUUUAUGUUGUUCCUUGAGAUAUAUAUUGAGCUGAUAACUGCCGUUGCUUGUAUGUGUAAUCUGAUUGGGUGAGAACGUGUUAAACUUACUUAGCAUUACAUGGAUGAAUUAUAAUGCUUAUAGUGAUUAGAGAUGACUCAACCCUUACAGUUAUUUUUCAGGUAACGAGCAAUGAGUCGAGUAAAAGCUAAUGCUUGAGUCUAGUGUAAGUCGCUUUACGUGGUCCAUGCCUCUGAUAGAUGUAACAUCGGGACGGGAUGUUUUAAUUAUUUGUUGUCGGUUGUUGAACUAUUUUUCCUGUAAUAUGUAUACACGUUUUAAUUGGUUGACCAUAACCUAUCCGCUGCGUAUUUUUGAAAUGUCUUAUGAUGAUAUAAUAAAAGAGCAGGACGAUGUAUUUUCGUAUAAGAAUGUGACACCCUUGUUUUGUGUAUUUACGCUCUGAUAUAUAUAUAUAUACUUGUUGUUUGUAUUAAAUAUUUGGGGUAUUUUAGAAGGUGUUACAUGCGCGCCACUGAUCAACAACACAUUCUUCACAAUCUUCUUGGCAUCUUUCACGAGACAUAGGUGUCCAAUUCCUUCUCAGCAGCAAUAGACAAGGCUUGGAACAGAGUUCCAACCUCAUCCUCAAACUUCACAUACGAGAAAGAAUGACGAGUUGGUAACCAACAACGCCUUCUCUCCUCCAACAAUCACAAGCUUGCCAUUCUUGACAAAUUUCAAUUUCUGAUGCAGAGUGGAGGUAACAGCCCCUGCCUCAUGAAUCCAUGGCCUUCCCAAUAAAAAAUUGUAGGCCGGGUGGAUAUCUAUUACUUGAAAAGUAAUAUGAAAAUCACUCAAACCUAUCUUGACUGGAAGGUCCACUUCACCAAUCACUGUCUUGCGCGAACCAUCAAAGGCUUUGACGAUUACACCAGUGUACCUCAUGGGCGCUCCUUGGUAAGAUAGCUUUAACAAAGUUGACUUCGGAAGCACAUUUAGUGACAAACCGGUGUCAACAAGCACAUUUAACAAAGCAUCUUCCUUACAGUUCAUUGAAAUAUGCAAAGCCAUAUUAUGAUUUCUUCCCUCCUCAGGGAGUUCUUCAUCGCAGAAGCUCAAAUUAUUGCAUGAAGUGAUGUUAGCCACAAUGUGAUCAAACUGAUCCACAGUAACAUCAUGCUCUAUACAUGCUUGUUCAAGAACUCUCUGCAGUGCUUCUCUGUGGGCUUCGGAAUUCAUCAACAGAGACAACACUGAGAUUUUUGAAGGAGUUUGGAGCAGCUGCUCAACCACAUUAAACUCGCUCCUCUUUAUUAAUCGGAGUACCUCAUCAUCAUCAUUGUCUUUUAAGUUGUUGGAUUCACCAGACUUAUCUUUUGAACAACCAAUCGGAUCUACAUUAGGAACCUCCGCCUUCUUACCAACAAUCAUUUCUUAUUUGUUUUCUAGGACCACCGACCCAAACACUCGACCACUACGAGUCACCUUUGUUACAUCAGCAAUGCUCACUACUGAACUAGUCAUAGGUAACGGGACCUCUUGACCAUUCUUUAUCAUUGUAGCAUUGUAUUGGUACGAUACAACCUUAUCAGAUGAAUACGGAACUGGGCCCGCUAACCGUAUUACCAACGACGAUACUGAUCUUUGAUUGACGUUCUUAUUAUUGCUGCUAUCAUAUUGAAUUACCAACCGCUCUUGUUGCUUGAAAACGGGCACUAUGACAUUGACGUCCUCAUCUACAUGACGAGAUUUGACAAUUUGAAACAUGCCUUCAUCCAUCAUACGUUGGAUGUUCCUUUUCACUACAUCACACCCUCUUGGGUUCACACUACAAACAACACAACCGUCAUGGUCAUUUUCACAAUCACUCACAAUACAAAUAUCCUUGUGCAUAUGCACCAAAGAUCUUCGGAUAAACCGGACGUCAAACACCUUGAAUUCUCCAGAACAACCGUCCACAAUAUUCACUGGAGAGUUCCCAUGAGCGAGAAAAGGGUUUGCUUUCACAUUUGGCGCAUGGUCCUCAAAGGACACCAUACCACUCUUCAUAAGCUUUUGAACCUCAUACUUCAAUGCAUAGUAGUUUUCAAUGUCGUGUCCGGGUGCUCCUUGACGAAAAGCACAACGAAGCUCAGGUUUAUACCACAAGGGAAGUGGUUCUGGGAUCUGCGGUGGGUUCGUCAGUUGAAUUAAGUUCUUGAGAACUAGCGAGGGAUACAGCUCUGCAUACGACAUAGGAAUCGGGUCAAAAGAGACCUUCUUCCUUUCAAUGUUCUACUGAUGAUGAUUGUUGUUGGUAUUGUUGUUGUUGUAGAUGUUCGUUAUUUGUUGUUGUUUUUGUUGUUGUUGACGUUGAUGUUGUUGUUUACCUCUUAGCGUCUUCAAUUCCUUGCGCAGCUCAAGAAACUGAUCUUUCAUCUCGUCUAUAUUCUCAUAAACAUCCGGGCCCUCAGACGGAUCGGAAUGAUAGAUGGUAUCCUCUACGCGAGGCAAAGUAUGCACAAUGGGAGGUGGCACGGACAUGACUGGGCUAGAUGCUGACAUGGAAGCAAAUGUAGGCGUAAAGCCUUCUGGCACAAAGUUGGGUGGCAUUCCCCAUGGGAAUCCGGUAGGCAGGUUCGACGCGAAGUGGGCGGUAGCAGCAGGCAUGGUAGAGGUAGUCAUCUCUUAAGUAACAUUCCUCGUAGGAGGAGUUGCAGGUGUUGGAGAAGCUUGGUUCUGAGCGGCUAGAACUGACUCCAUCAUGGCAGUCAGGCGGGCGAUCUCGUCCUUCAUCUCUCUAUUCUCUUGCUCCAAAUGUUCCAUGAUUUUCUGAUGAUUGGCUCGGGUAUUGUAUCGGUGAGUCAGCUUGGGUAAAGCACAAAAGAAACACCAAUUAGACAUCUGGCGAAAACCUGCUUAUGCAAAUGAUACAUGAAAUGCAAUGCUUGAUUAUUUUUAGUUUCAAUGAACUUACUAUAUCAUUUGCAAAUAUAUAAUAUUUAAAUGGCAAUUGAAACAAUUUGAUAUGACCAAAAAUCUCUUUUUAUUUAUAUAAAUUGGAAGGAUUACACUGAGUACAUUUUCAGAAACGAAAAUAAAAAGAUACAAGAGAAAAGGAGAGUAGUCAUCCUAAGGAUUCCUAACAACAAUGUUAGAAGAUCUGGCUGAAGGCGCGUACUUCCUUCGAAUGCGACGGAUCUCGAUCUCAAAAGAAGCCUUCAUCUGAGUCUUCUCGAGGACAAGCUGGUCAACAAUCUUCUUCCAAGAAACGAAAGGCUGAGGCAUGCUAGGAGAUGAAUCCUCUGGCUCUCUCUGUCUCUUCGUCACUCGGUCUUCAAGUAGCUCGAUAAGUGCAUCUUUGUCCUUAGACUCCAACUGCAACUCUUCAUGCUUCUUUCUCAAAGAACGGAAACGCUCUUCCCAAAUGUCCUUCUCUUGCUUCAUCUUGGCGAGCGCGUCUUCCAACUCCUCUACAUAUUGGUUAGGGAGAGUUAAUGUCUCAACCACAACAAUAGACAUAGGUCUUUCACAAGGAUAAGGCAUCUUCAACUCCAUAGCUCUCUUCUUCACCCAAAGAGUGUAAGCUUCCAAAGCUACACAAUUGCACGGACCAAGCUCGGAUCUUCCUUUCCUGUGCACAUUAUGCCAAGCAUGCACAAUCUUCUGCUUCAAAUGUUGGGGAUCUUUACCCUCUUGAUUGAAAAGACCUUCUAACCACAUGUUAUUAGGUUUGUCUCUCAAGGGGAAGCCAAGUUGACGAAGAGCCAAAGCAGGGUUGUAGUUAAUUCCUCCUUGUGUACCAAUGAGACGCACAUUAGAGAACUCACCACAACUAUCAAUAAUCUCUAAACUGCUUAAAGACGGAUCAUACCAAACUAUAUCAUCAUUAGUGAGAGACAUAAGUCUCUGAGACCACCUUAGACAUUGUUUGUUCUUGUAGCGGGGUAUUCGUUACCAUUAGAGAUAUUGACUAAAUCUAAGGUAAACCAUACAAGUCGAGUCGCCACCGCACUUCUAUUUAUCCAAAGGAAUGGUUAGAAAGCGAACAAAACCCUAAAAAAUUUAUCGAAUCAAAAACUAGUAAAAAUGUCAGAGAUCGGGGUAAGGGGGUUGGUUAUGCAAUGGGAAGGUUUUAAGCAUCCAAAACAUCCUAGGUACUCCUAGGGAGCCCUUUUCAUAUUUGUUGUAAGGUUGGUAUUUUGUGAAAAUUUGUUUGUGCAAACAUGAUUGAAGAGAUGAGAAGAGAAUAUACAAGUUAUUUACAUUUUGUGUUUGGAUGGAUAAACCCUUGCUACGUACCAUCUUAAGAAAGAUUAGGAUCAAAACCUCGUAGUUCGGGGUAAAAAUCUCAAAAUGAGUUGGUGAAUUGAUUGGUCCAAAAGCCUUAAGGUCUUUUGUUAUCCAAGGGAGAAAACUUCAACUUAAAACCACAAAUCACCACGUAAGGAAAGCUUCACAUGCUAGUGAGGGGUUAACCCCUAUAAUAAGCAUGGAAGACUCAUUGUCCAUCACUAAGGAUAUAGGUGAGUAUUACAUCUACCUCAAGGAUAACUCAAACCUAAUAGCUAAAGGUUAUGAAAAGUUUUGAUUAAGAAAAGUGGCCAUUGAAACCACAAAAAACAUUUGAAUGAGUUAUAUUUACCAAUGAAAAGUAUUUACAAAAAUAUGGUCAAAGUUGACUUAAAAGUUCAAUUUAAAAUAAGUGUUAUGAAAAGAAAGUUUAAAAAUCAAAAGCAUAAGGCUUAGGUUUCUAAUGUUUAAAAAUAAGUGUUAAAUGUUUGCACAAAAAGUUUUGGCUUGGGUUAGAGUGGAUGGAAGAAGAAGAAUGGCUAAAGUCCUAAUCAUACAAGAGAUGAGGGAUAAGAAACAAGACCACAAAUGGAGUUCCUCUAUUGAGAUCAUAUUGAUGAUCCAAGUAGCUCCCAUCCUUUGCAAUAUGCAAGCAAAAUAAGUGUAAGCUCAAGCAAUCAACAUAAUCAAACAAGCUCUUAGAAGAUCUCCAAUGUCUCUUGUAUCUUUCACUUUUGGAUGAACAUGGCAAUGAUUCUUCAAUUUGGCUCACAUAGGAUCCCCUAGCACAAAAGCACACACACAUCAAAGAACUUUAUGAAGUAAAUCAAGAAUGGACAAGAGUGAGUUUAGAGGUUUGGUCCUUCUAAUCCAUCUUCAACAUUAAGGUCCUUUUACUCCAAUUUGCAUAGGAAAAGUCCUAGAAACUAAGUCUGUUUGUCCAUUUCUUUGCAUUUUGGUCCACAACAAUCAAAACAAAACACAAGCACAAUAAUAAUAUAUACACAAUUAUGUACUCAAAUGAGCAAAAGGCAAAUUGCAUUAACAUAAACAUGUGCUCAAAUGAGCAAAGGGGGAAAAGCAAAUGAAUAAUAUGUACAAGAAUAGUAAAUUGCAUAAAUGUAAAGUGCAAAAAGUAAAUGUUAAUGGUUAAUAGUUAGUAUCAGUAGUUAGUGUGUCAUAAGGCAAAUUUAGCGCUAUGUUAAGCAAUCGUAAUUGGACUUAUGUAGAAGUCACAACUAUCUGAGGCCGGUCAAUAAUAAUGUAGGCAACAACACAAGUUAGGGUCUGAUUAGUGAAUCAAACUCCAUCAAGUUGCCAUCCCAAAAGAAGAGGAGAAAUGAUCUUGUAUUGAUUUAGGUUUUUUUUCAUGAUUUAGGAAGCAAUCUAUCCUCAAUGCAAAGCUAUUCACUUGAUCCAUGAUCAAGAUGAAUUAGAUUUGAAUUAAGGAAGAUUAACCUCCAUGUAUCAAUGCUAACCACCAAUCUUUAACUCAUUGAUCAAAAAAAAAAAAAAAGAAGAAGAUGAUGAUGAAAAAUUAAUGUGCAUUAAUAGAAAUGGAAUAAGAUAAUUAACAAGCAUUGACCAAAGAUAGAGAAGAUCAAGGUCAAUCAAUAGAAAACAGAAGCAAAAUGAGAAUUAGAAGUCAAGAAACAAAUAAAAUAUUUUUGACAUUUUUUAAUAUUGAAAUAAAACUUGAAUUAAAAUAAUAAAGAAAGGUCAAACUUGAAAAUCACUUCAAAUCAACUUUGGAAAGUCCAAGUGAAUUAUCCCAAGUUCAACAAGGUCAAACAAAGUUUGACAAAAAAUUUCAGCAUUCUUAAAAGUCAGAAACUAUUUUUAAUCAAUUUAAAAUGCAUAAAAAUAACCUAAUUGAACUAAAAUCUCAAAUCAAUUAAUAAAUUGAUGAGAAUAUUUUUCAUAGAUCUAUCAUCAUUCAAAGAGGUUGGAAAAGUGUUUUUGUAUUUUUUGAAUAUCAAAAACUAUUUUAAAUGAAUUAAAAAUAACCAAAAAAGAGAAAAUUACUAAAAAAAUAUCAAAUGAUAAAAUAAAAAAUAUUAAAAAUCAUUUUCAGAAAGUAGAAAUUAAAAGGAGAAGAAUGAAAUUGGUCCCAUAAUUUUUGGACCAAUAAUGAGAGAGAUAUGAAUUUUAAAAAUAAAAUGGAAUUAAAAUAAAUAAAAGAAAUUAAAAUCAGAAAUUAGAAAAUAGGAAAAAAGCGUGAGCCAUUGGAUCUGAGCUCAUUAAUUGAGCUGGCAAAUCAUGAGGCCCACAACGCGCGCCUACCAAACGCGUGAGUCAAACGAGUCACAUGGAACAUCAAAAAAAGUCAUAACAUUGGACGCUUAGGAUUAGAUCUGGAAAAACAAAUGGAAGGCCUAGAUCUAAUCUGGAGACCAGACGGUGGCCAGCGCCACCGUCUUCUCCGGCUAGCUCCGACGAGGUUCAAAAAUUGCAGAACUUAAAAUGGCAACCAAAAUGCACGAUCCAGACAUCAUUCGAGAGCUGGGGUGAUGUACAUCACCCCUGUACCACUCAAUUCCAUUCUAGAUCUCUAGAUUGAGAGAAAUCAGAAGUGGAAAUUCUGUGGUGUUCAUAUGAACUUCAUGAUUUCCAAAAAAUUGAAAGCAUAGCAAUGUUGCCUCUAUGCAGAGGACUUCAGAUCACACAAUAACAAAGCAAAUAGAGCACUAUACAAGCUGGUUCGAAGCAAAUAACAGUUGAAGUAAACCUUUGAAUUGCAACCUCUAUGCAGAGGACUUCAGAUCACACAAUAACAAAGCAAAUAGAGCACUAUACAAGCUGGUUCGAAGCAAAUAACAGUUGAAGUAAACCUUUGAAUUGCAAGGCUUGGAGUCAAGAUCUUUGGAUUCUUUUGCUAACAGUAGACACUAGGGAUCAAGGAAAGAAGGUUUAGGAACUUUGAGAUAUGAAGAUUGAUCAAUGAAAUCAAAAUUCAGAUCUGAAAAAUUUGAAGAGAAAUGAAAUAGUUCCUUUAGUGAUGGCUAGGAUUUCAGUUCAGCAGCAAUUGGGGUGCCUUAAGGUUGCUAAAAUGAGAGGCCAAGGCAUUGUAUUUAUAGCUUAGCAAGGCCGAAUUGCAUGAUCAAAUCGUGUGCAUGGAUGGAAGGGGCCUCCAUGCAUGGGCCUGUACAGGCGCAUGGAGGGCCCAAUUCCACUUGGAAAUGGAAGCUUAUGCAUGAUGUAAGUAGAAUGGACGUGCAUAAUGGAUUGUAUUAGCUCAUGCAUGGCAAUUGAAAUGAUUUUCACAAAAUGCACUAUUACAUUCAAGUCUUCGAAAAUGCCAUGUCCAUACUUGAAAUGUAACCUCAUGAGUAAUGGUUAGAAAGCUUAUUGCAUAAGGAACAAAUGUUAUAUUGAUCAAAACUCCAUUUGGGCCUUGGAAAUUAAUGAAAAUUGAACUUGUAGUGUAGGGUGCAAAACAUGCAUAUGUGAGAUUUUCAAAAUUGGCCAAAGUUCAAGCCCUUCUGUCUCAUUGAUACAAGCUCCAAAUGACAAAACCUUAAACAUUAAAGUUGUAGUUAUUUUAACUAAAACCAAUUUGGACUUAAAUUUUGCAUCAUUUGGAUUUUUGAUGAAGAAGUUAUGGGCACUUGAAGUUGGACUUUUUCACAUUUCAAUGCAUUUGGUCCAAAGUGACCUAUAAUGUUUUGCAUUAUAACAUGUAUUUCUUUUGAGAUUUUGGGAUUUUGCUCAACAUAAAAUUUGAGCUAGACAUCCUAAUAUUUCCAAUUCAUUUGAUAUCACCUCUAAAUCAUGAAAAAUGAAAGAGUUAUGUCCUUGGGAAGUUGACCCAAAAUUAGGGUUUCAGUCAAAAUGACCUAUAAUGUCUUGGGAUGGAUGAUGACCUCCCAAGCUUCAAAUCAAUUUUUGAUGAACAUGGAAGUUGUUCAUAGAGUCCUUAAGAACAUUUUUUCUCUCGGGGUCAUCUCCAUUUGACAAACACAUAAAAAGUUAGGUCUCAGUGCAUUUCAAAAUACUCAGAUGAAUUGACUAAUCAACUUCUCAAGUCCAAACCUCAUAUCUUGAUGAAUUGAUGAUUGAGGGCACUAAAAUAAGUCCAAAUAUGCAUUAAAUGAUGAAUUAAAUAACUUCCCUUGAUUUUUUUUGACCAUAGGUUGAGGUUGCUUCAUGAGUAAAGCACAAUUGAUGAGCAGAUGAAUUAGGGCUUCCUUGGGAAACAAACCUCAAACCCUUUGAUUUGCUUUGGUCAAAAUGAUGAAUUGAGAUACUUGGGAGGCAUAUUUGAUGGAUGAGAGAUUUGGGAACCAUAUCCAUGCUUGCCUUCAUCUUCUCUUGGCCAUAUUAAUGCACAUAGGGUCUCCUAGAAGCUUUAGACUUUGUGACUGCUCAAGCUACAAACAACAGAUGUUAGUGACAUAUUUUUGUGCUUUUGGUUAGUGACUAAAAAUGAGAAAAGCAAUGAUAUACAAUUCAAGCAUGCUUGGUGAUCUCAAACCAACUCACAAGAGGUCCCACCCAAAGGCAAAGGGAACCAAGACGCUUAUGAUCCUUGAGGCAAUAUAAAUGCAAUGUUAUGAUGCCAUGAGGGAUCUUAGGGUCAAAAUUAGGAUCACAGUUCUCCACAAAACCAGGUGUCUGAGGCAAGUGAGAAAUAAACCACUUGUAACAGACAAUUGUUCCACCACCUUUAGAAUUCCUUAGAUGUAAAGAGAAAUACAUAUCACCCAACAAAGUAGGCAUAGGAUUCCUAAUCAAGAAAAGUCUAAUGGCGUUAACAUCAACAAAACCGUCAAUGUUAGGGAACAAAGCUAAUCCAUAGAUGAGCAACACAAAUAUAGCUUCAAAAGCGUCCAUACUACCAGCUUGAGAAAAGGUGGUAGCUUCCUUGAUGAGGAAAACAGAUGGCAACCCAAAUAAUCCUCCUUUCUUCUCCCAAUGAGCCUGUAUCUCAGACUUCUUCAAGUUAAGAGCUUCAGCAAUAAUACUAGACCGGGGAAUCUCCUCUAAUCCACUAAAAGGCAGUCUACUAGAAACAGGUAUCCCCAAAAGAUGAGAAUACUCCUCUAAUGUAGGCACAAGCUGAAAAUCUGGGAAAGUGAAACAAUGGUAGAGAGGAUCAUAGAACUGCACUAGCACACUCAAAAGUCCUUCAACCACAUCAGCAGACAAGACGGACAAAAGCUUCCCAUGACAUUGUUUGAAGUCCAAGGGAUCUAAUACAAAAGAUGCUAGCUUCCUUAACUCUUUCAAGUUGGGACAUCUGAAACUGUACUUCUUAGUGUUCCUUCGUCCACAAUCCAUGGUAUGAAAAUAUUUGCAAAUGAUAACUUAGUUCCUUAAAAUUUUCGUGUGACGAAUGUUAUGAUGCGCAUGAAUGCAUGAAUGCAACACCCAUAAAUAAGGGAUUACGCACAAGGUAAACAAAGGUCAAGGAAUGAAUCAAGUCAUUGUCAAGAUCAAUCAUCCAUUUUGGUGGAUUAUGGUUUACACCUUAUCAACACCCAAGUUCCAUUGAUAUUGACAAGACUUGGUUGGAUCAACCAAGAAUCAAGGGUUUGUUACAAGUCACGAGCAUGGAGUAGUCUGGGUAAGAACCAUCCCAAAGGAGUGAACUAAGGAUAAAAACCUGUAGAUCAUAUUCUAAAAAGUUCUCAGAGUCUUAAUUCCACCUAUGGGAUAUUAUAGGUUAAGAUGACUGACUCAUCGACCCAUAAUAUUCUCAAGAGAAACUCGUUUGAGUGUAGUAUCACGUAACAACUGUUAUCAAGUCUACACCUGAACAGUUUCCGCACUACGUUCUAAAUAGGCCAAUAUGGGUUAAAUGUUCUAAGGUCCUCAGCUUCUCGGACCCAAUUAGAGAUAGCAAUGCCUAACCACAAAUACUUGUAUGACAUUUCCAAAUCCAAAGGAGUCUCCACUGAGCAGAUGGAUCUCAAGCCAACUUGUUAAGGACUAAUCCACACAAGUCGAACAUGACUAUACCAUCCUCCUAUCUUAAUUGCACUCAAGUUUGGGUUAGAACUUAUCUCACCACUCAGAGAUCCCCAAGCACAACAAGAAAAUUAUAUCACACAUACAUACAAACAUCACAUAUAUACAAAUAGAUUCACACAAAAAAUAAGCUAAACCCACUGAGGACUACUCCCUAGCAGAGUCUCCACUUAAUUUCUGUAGCGGGAAAUUCAUGAUCAUCAAGCUAUUGAUAAGCUAGAGAUCAAAUUACAAGAGUCGCCACCGCGCUUUUAUUAUUUCCAAUGGAAAAGGGAAAAAGUACGAACAAAACCCAAAAGGUAAGAAGUUUUCAAAUCAAAACUAGUAAAAAGUCAGAGAUCACAGGUAAGGGGGUUGGUUACACAGAGGAAAGGUGUUAGCACCCAAAGUGUCCUAGGUACUCGUGGGGAGCCCUUUUUGUGUGCAUGUGUAUUUUGUACAAAGUGAUGUUUACAAACAAAUAAAAUGGGGGGAUGAGAAAAGAAUUCAUUAAUUAUAUUUUUGUGUUUAACAAGACCUUCGGUCUUGUGCCUACGUACCAACAUAAAAAUGAGGGAUCAAAACCUCGUAGUUCGUGAUACAAAUUUCAAAAAAUUCAUUAAUUAUAUUUUUGUGUUUAACAAGACCUUCGGUCUUGUGCCUACGUACCAACAUAAAAAUGAGGGAUCAAAACCUCGUAGUUCGUGAUACAAAUUUCAAAGUGGAUGCAUUACUUUUAACAAACAUUAAGUUGAAAGGCACAAAGGUCUAAAAUGAUUUGAAUGAGUUACUUCUUUUUGGCUUUUUGAAAGUUUAAGUCAAGUAUAGUUAAAUUUAUUUACAAGUUUGAUUUAAGAAAAGAAGUUUAAAAAUGCAAUGGAAUAAGGCCAAAGUUUCUAUCUUUUGCCAAAAGUGGUCAAAGUUGAGGACAAAAGUAGUUCACAAAAAGAAGAUUUUUAAAAAUGGAGGGAGAGAUUUUGAAAUUAAAGAAAUGAGGGAGAAGAUGAAGAGAUUAUUCUAUGCACAAAAAUUAAAAGUUUAAAGUUGAAAAGAUCUGACCAAGUGGGUAGCAAUCCAAUAGACAAGAAUGUCAAUAGAAACCCAUAAUUCCCUUGGACUUUUUAAAAUCAAGAAAAACAUAAAUGCACACUUAUAUUAUCUUGAAGAGCAAGGCAUCAAAUAAAGAUGGCCACAUCCAAGCUUAUCCGUUCCAUGAUCUUCUUCAAAAUAGCCCAUGUAACAGAUGAAUUCAACAAGUCGCAGGUUCAAAAUAACAGCUUCACAAUGAUCAUGUUGCUGAUGAACUUAGAGAGGUCUUCAAAGAUGUAUCAGAUGAAGUUCAAAUUGUAAGCACUUGGUUCUUCAACAAUUUGGCAUUGGCAAAGUCCUUUAGCUUAGGAAGGUUGCCUAGAUUCUAAGUCCAUUUGUCCUAGAUCAAGCCAACAGUCCACUCAAGAGUUUUUUUAGGACUUUUGUUAUUAUUAUGUACAUUAAUGGUCAAAGACCACAUAAAUAAAUAAAGUAUAGACAAACAAAAUAUAUCACACAAUAUGGUCCAAAUGGGCAAAGUGAAAAUUGCAUUAACAUAAACAAUUAGAAUGAUAUGAAUAAUAGCAAAUGAAAUAGUGUUAAAAGUAAAUUGCAUUAAAGUAAAAGCUUGAAACUAAAAGUUAGUAGUUAAUUGGUUAGAAGUUAGUAUUGUUUUGCUUUUUCUUUUUUCAUUUCAAGACAUUCUUUGGAGAACACUCAACCCACUUAUCACAAGCAUAAAUCCUUGAGCCAAAACAUCUUCCAAAGGAAGGAAAGAAGGCCAUGUUUCUAAACAAUACCAUGAAAGAGGAGAGACUUACAAUCUCACUAACUAGAAUGCUUAUGCCUUUUAUGUAAAAAAUUUAGUGCUAUGUUAAGCAAUUGUAAUUGGACUUAUGUAGAAGUCACAAUUAUUUGAGGUCGGGCAAUAGAAUUUUGGUGUUAAUGCAUGUUAGAGACAUAGUAUAAUGGAUUAUGCUCAUGAAACAUACCACACAUAUAAAAAGAAUAUGAAAAAGGUGUGGUCUAAUCUCAUCCAUACUCAUGUCAAUUUUUCAAUCAACUAGCAUUAGGACUUUAAGAUGUCAUAGGCCAAAUGGAAUGAAUGAAUGAAGAAAGGGAAUAAAAUGAAGUGGAAGGGGAAUGAAUGAAAACACAAAUUGGUCAAAGGAGAACUUUUACCAAAUUAAUAUCAUUCAUUCAUUUUGGGAGAUGGAAUGUACGUUCCAUCAAUCCCCUAAAUCCAAUGAUAUUAAUUUGACAAAGUCAAAUCAACCUUGACCAAGGCCGAACAACAAGAGUUAAACAUAAACAAGUCAUCACAAUUGGUCAACCAAUUUAUUUGGCAUUUAUUCAAAUUAAAAAAAUAAUAAAAUAAUGUAUUUAAAUCAAAUAUGGUUUGUCCUAUUCCUAAAAUCUCAUCAAGACACCAAAGAAAUGGCCAAGAAAUUUAUCAUAGGUCAAACAAGGUCAAAGGACCUUGGAGAAAAAAUUUCAUAAUUUUUGGACAUUUAAAAAUAUUUUUAAACAUUUAAAAACAAAUUAAAAAUCAAUUAAUUCAUGAAAAAUAUUAAUAAUGAUUGAAAAAAUAAUUUUAAUUCAGAAUAUGAAAGAGAAAAAUAUUUGAAAUUUUUUGGUGAAAGUCCCAUAUUUUUUGGAUCAAUAUUGAAUUUAAUAUGAAUUACUGAAAAUAAAGCAAAUAAAAUGAAAAUUAAAAUAUCAGAAAAAAUGUGGACCACUUGAUCUCCCUCAUUAAUUGAGGUGGCAAAUCAACUGGCCAGAAACGGGCGUUCCACCAUGGUCUCAAGUUAGCGCGCUGCAUAAUUGGUAAUUAAAAGGGACGCACGAGAUUAAAACAAAACAAGUGGAUCUUGUGGCUAUGAGACAUGCCAGCGCAUAGCCGGAGCUGUAGCUCCGGUCUUCUUCUCCGGUGGACCUCACCGGACUGGUCCACCAUCAACCAUCACCAAAAUUAAAAACAAGGACAUGAUUUCAAAGUAAAAAUGGCACUAAGCUCUAAUCUGGCCUCAAUUCACUCUAACUCCAAGUAUAUUGAGAGAUACAUGGAGUUGAAAUUUGAGGUACAUGAAUUGAGUUGCUUUGAUUUGGCCUCAAAGCAACUCAAUCUUCUUGCCUACAUUGGUAGGACUUCAAACAACCAAAGAAUCAAUAGAAUUGAGCAAGAAUUUGAGAGAAUCGAAGAGUUCAAAAUUUCUGGAAAAUACCUUCACCUACAUUGGUAGGACUUCAAACAACCAAAGAAUCAAUAGAAUUGAGCAAGAAUUUGAGAGAAUCGAAGAGUUCAAAAUUUCUGGAAAAUACCUUCAAUGGAGGUCUGGAUUCAACUGAUCUUGAUCCUGAUUGUGCUUGAUCUUACUCCACUUGCUUGUAAAAGAAGGAUUGAAAGCUUACAAGCUAUGGAUUCCUGGAGAUUUGAAUUUCAAAACAGUGGAAAUUCAACCUCAAAUUCAAAUGAAUUUCUCAGGUUUAUCCUUUGCAAAGUGAGGGUUUGAGAUGGGGAAUCAGAGCUGGUGCAAAUGUGUGUGAAAUUAUGAGCAUAUGGAGCUCUAUUUAUAGCCAAUUCAAUUGAUAUUUGCACACUUGAAAUCACUUUCCAAAUUUGGUCAUUGAUGAUGCAUGGGUGCGUAUAGGCCCAUAAAAUCAUUUCCAUAAGUCCACAAAUGAAUGUUGGAUAGUCUGAAUUGAGCUUAGAUUGCAAGGCAAGUGUGCAUUUGGAUUUGAAGUUUGAUCCUUGCCAAGUCAUGUCACCAUGUUCAUGCCAUACGCAGCCUAUGCAUUCCUUGUCCAAAAUGAAUGAAUUUAAGCUCUUUAGAAAGGUGAGAUAAAAAGGAACAACUUUCAUGUUCAAUACUUUUUCAUUUGGAGCUUGGAACUUGGAGAAAUUUGAGGUGGAAGUUUGGAAAUGUUUGACAUAUCAAAAAAAUUCUAAGUGUCAAACCAUAUGUCUCAAUAUUCCACCUUGCUUAACUUUUUAUGUGAGUUUCAAAUGAGAAAAGUGUCUUUAUAAAAGUUGUAUAUCUUUCAAAUACCUUCAAAAUGGUCACCAAUUUCAUUUCAUUUGGGUUUGAAAUGAUAGAUUUAUGCAUUUUUGAAGUUUGAAAAAAUCACUUGAUCAAUGGUAUAGGUCAAAAGUGACCUAUAAUGUAACCUCAUAUCACAUGCUCAAAAAAGUUGAAUUAGCUCCCACUCCAAACAUUAAAGUUGAAGUAGACACAUUUAAUUUGAUUAUGAAACUUGGAAAUCUUUCAUCUUAUAAAAAUUGAUCAAGUUAUUGCCUUGGGAAGUUGACUUUCAAAUUAGGGUUUAGACAAAAUGACCUAUAAUGUUUCAACAUAGAAAAUAAUUUUCCAAGCAAAACUAGAUCUAGGUCUCAACAUGAGAGUUGUUUGGAAUGUGAUCUAGAGUAAGUUUUCUCUUGGAAUAAUUUUCAUAUGGUGCAAAUUGUAGGAGAUAGGGUCUAGGGAGACCCAAUUUUGAUUAGAGGAAUUCAUCUGGCCAACCACCAUCAACUAACUUGCUAACUUCCAAUUCUCUUGACUUUAUUGGCUCAUGGUAGAUCAUAUAUGCAUAAGAUGAUGCAUUUUGAAGUGUACCUUGAUAAAUUUGAUCAAUUAGUAAGAUAGCUUGUUGGAGAAGUUACUCAAGAUACCUAGUCAAACUAGGGUUUCCAAGGCAAAUCACCCUUAAACUCUUGAAGAAAACUUUAUCAAUAUAACAUGUAGAGAAAAUUGGGACUCAUAUAUGAUGUUCAUAAAUAUUUUUGAAUCAAUUCUUGGUUGUGCUCUUUAUUCAUGAGGGUCUCAAACCUUAGAUGUGAACUUGAUGAAUCAAUGGAAUCAUGCCCUUCCUACAAAAGAGUUAGACAAAUGCAAAGACAUAUUUUUGGUAUUUUGGUUAGUGAAAUGCUAAAAUACAAGUAUGAUAUAAUCACAAAGUGUUUGGUGAUCUCUCCCAAAAAAAACCCAAUGAAAGAGGGGUAAGGAGGAUGCCAAGGUAUGAUCCCAAUGCUAAUGCAUGUGAUGAAAUUGCAUGAGGGAUCUUAGGGUCAAAAUUGGGGUCUUACAGGCCUGACUUAACAUACAGUGUAGAUAUGGUGAGUAGAUUCAUGCAGAAACCAAAGGUAUCACAUCUAGCAGCAGUGAAGAGGAUACUAAGGUAUCUGAAAGGAACUCUCGAUUAUGGAAUUUUGUUUCCUGCAACUGAUGAAAGAAAACAAUGCAAACUAGUGGGAUACACCGACUCAAGUUGGUGUAGUGAUGUUGAGGAUCGAAAUCCAUAGAUGGCUAUGUGUUUAUGCUAGGUGGUGCACCAAUUUCUUGGAGUUCGAGAAAGGCGCCAGUAGUGGCAUUAUCGUCGUGCGAAUCAGAAUACAUAAUUGCUUCCUUUUGUGCAUGUCAAGCAACGUGGAUGAUGAAUCUUGUCGAAGAGAUAAAAACGAAGAGUCAUGGAGAAAUUACCCUGAAGAUCGACAAUAUAUCAUCUAUCAAUCUAACAAAUAAUCAGAUAGCACAUGGUCGAAGCAAACACAUCAAAAUGAGGUUCCAUUAUCUUCGAAAGCAGAUAGCAGAUGGGAAGAUGAAUUUGGAACACUGUAGAAUUGAGAAUCAGAUAACAAACAUCAUGAUGAAGGGAGUGCAGGUCGAAGUAUUCAGAAGACUAAGAGCUAUGAUGAAAGUAGAUAGCUUAGACACAAUGAAUUAGGUGGUGUGUUGAAUUGUAAUUCCUUGUGUCGAAGCAGGUUGCUCGAUAGAAGAAAGGAAGUGUCGAACCACCUAGUGUGUUGAGUUGUAUUAGUGUUCCGAGGUGUCAAAGCAUGUUGUUUUACACAGGAUUUCAACUUAGGCCUAUUUUUAGUAGUGUUAACUAUCUUGGGAUUUGGCUUAGGGAGCAAACUAACCUAAAUCUAUAAAUAGAGGGAGUAACCCUUAUUCUUGUAUGAAGAAAAGAAAGAACUCAUAACAUUCUAUUCACAGAAUUUUGCAGUUGCAAAGUGAAUAAAGAAGUUUUCCACAGGUUAUGGGCAGAGAGAAAACUUUGCAGAAAAUAUUAUUCUUCGCAGAAGUUUCUUUUCUUUCUUUCUCAAUUGUUUUUUUCUUUUCAUUAUCAUUGCAUGGUUGAUAAAAAUAUUGUUCAUCAAGAUUGAUAGAAAUUCUCUAUAGGUUGUGGUGGAUUUCCUACAGAGAUAGCUAACGUCGGAGUAGUCAAACUGGAAGGGUUGAUGCCAGGGCAAGCUACCUUUGCUGCUCAUCUCUAGGUCAAUGGUUGCGAAGUAUGACGACUGGACAUGCUACCGUAGCACCGCUAACGAUGGCUCAAAGUUUACAACAUUAACAUUCUUCGAGGGGAAUGAUGACAAGCAUUGAGGAGGUUGGUUAUGGUGGUUGAAUGGCUUUUAGAACAUGUGAUAACGCGCAUGAGAGUGUUAGAGAAUGAAGUUUUUUGGCUUCAUGGGUUGUAUAUGUUAUUGGAAUUGCAUUCUCCGUUCGGGGAUUUAAAGAGAGAAAAAACCCUAUAUAAUGUUAACUUGUGUCGAAAGGAACAUGUUAACCUACUAUAAUUAUACUCAUAAAAAUCAUAUUAUAAUUAUACUCAUAAAAAUUAGGAAUAUGUAACAACAAUCCAACCAUUUUGUAUGGGAAUUAGCAAAUUAUAAAUAGAAAAGUAUUAAGGGGAUUUUUUAAUGCACCCUAUGUAUUACUAAAGCACCACUUCAAAAUACAAAAAUAUCUCAAGAUUUCAGAGGAACAUUUUCAGACGCACCCUAAUGUAAGACCCCAAUUCAGACGCAAAUUGUUUUGGAAAAUAAAGGCUUUUUCAAAAAUAAGAACACACAGAAUUUUAUACUGGUUUGCUUAUAACACAAAGCUACUCCAGUCCACCCGGCCAAGGUGAUUUCGCCUUCAAAAACCACUAAUCUUGAAAGAUUAAUACAACCAAACGUCUAAAAGAGUGAUCUCUUAGUCCCAAGUAUACAGACUACGCAGAGUCACUUGAGGAACAAAAGCAAUUUAGCAAUAAUAGAUUUGUAAUCGAGAGUGCUUCUAAAGGUAAGCAAAUAUUACAGCAGAAUAAGCAAGUAAGUGUUUUCACAUAUGAGCAGAAACUCGUGAAAAACUGAGAGAGAAUGUAAAGAAUUUUUCUGUGCGUUGUUGUAUCUCUCACUGAAGUAUGUUGUCCUUUAUAUAAUGGUGAAAGGACCGUUGGAGUGAUGACAGAAUAUUGGCCUUUGAUGAGCAUUCAAUGUCAUUACUUCUGUGUUUCCUUCCAUAACCAAUUUGUCUCCCUGAAUAACUUCUUUCUAAAAAUAAUUUUUUUCCAUUUGAAAAAGUUCUUUCCGUUACUCUUUCUGGAUUUGGAGAAUCUUCAUCAGAGUCUUUGUUAUCUCAGAGUUUCUGUGUCAACCGGAGAUUGCGUUGAGGUUACGUCAGAGCUUCUAAGAGUACUGGUCUUUUAGAUCAUCAGAACUGAGUCCGGUGGAAGUUUAGAGCUUUUGGUAUUCUGCUGUCUUGUUUUGCUUAGAAUCAGAACUUCUAUAGCGCACUUCUUCUUCAGAUGCUUCUGAUCUUCUAGUAAUUUGUAUCUGAUCAGAUUUUGUAUCUGAUAAAUAGAUCAGAUUCCUUUGUAGUUGUUCAGAGUCCUGCACACUUAGAGAAUUUUCAUUAUGGUGCCAUUUUUGGUUCCAUCCUUUGUUAUCAUUAAAAUCCUGGAAUUAUAUUGUAGAACUAAUCUUGUUCUUACAAUCUCCCCUUUUUUGAUGAUGACAAAACAAUCUUACUUAAGAGAUGAAACAUUUAGAGAUAAGAAUUUAUCAGAUCAGAUAGAAGUGAACUCCCCCUGAGAUAAGCCUGGGAGUUCAGAAGUUCUUACCGGUGCUUCCAUGAUAUGAUGUUUCUAGAUACUCUUCUGCAAAUUUCUAAGUCAAAAAGGAAUAUGUUUUCAUCAGAGAUAUUUUUAUUUCUCCCCCUUUUUGUCAGAAUCAAAAAGACUUAGUAAAAUAAAGGAAAGGCAAAUAUAUAUAUAUAUUCAGAUAGAAAACACAAACAGCAGAAAGCAAGAACAAAUAUAAUCAGAAAGCAACAAGCAAAUCAGCAAAGGAAAAUCCUAGGUUCCUAAGGGUUUGGAGGUGGAGGCAUCCUCUGAAGCAGCUGGGUCAGCAGAUUCUGAAUGUUUAUGUUGACUGAAUCAUGUUGAUCCAAUCUAGCUCGGACUUCCUUCUGCUCCUUCUGAAGAUCUUCAAGAGUCUUGAGAACCAGAGGGACAAAGGUGGAAGACUCCCCCUGAGUCAGAGCAUCCGGUUCUACCCUGCUGGCAGAGCUCGGACUUCCUUCUGCUCCUUCUGAAGAUCUUCAAGAGUCUUGAGAACCAGAGGGACAAAGGUGGAAGACUCCCCCUGAGUCAGAGCAUCCGGUUCUACCCUGCUGGCAGAUUCUUCAGCACGACAAACUUCAGCUUCAGCAGCGGCUUUAGCUUCAGCUUCAGCAACAGCUUUUGCUUCAGCUUCCGUAGCAGCAGCGUCAGCUAGAGCUUUGGCUUCAGCUUCCUUAAGUCUUUGAAUUUCCUCUUUCCUUUCUUUUAUUUCUGCUUCCUUUCUGGCUUGCUCCUUGGCUUCUUUGGCUAAGCGCUCUUGUAGUCUUACUUCAGCAUCUCUGAUGAAGUCAUUUCUGACUUGCUCAGAGAGGCUCUUCAGUUUGAAGGCUUCAGAGGUCAUCCAGCCAAUAACUCUGUUCUAGUGUGUCCUAACAGCUGAAGGAUCAUCACUGAUGCCAGAUUUGAUGGUCAGAGACUUGACCUUGUCAACUGAGGCUCCUGCAAGCAACACUAUUGCUUCUUCUAGGGUUGGCAGGAUGUUUUGUGGUUCAGAGGGUGGAGGUGGAGAAGUGGGAUGGCUUAGGUUGAGAGUUUGUGGUUCAGCGGAUGUGUUUGGUGGGGGUGUGUCAGAGGUAAUUGGUUCAGAAGGUUGAAGGUCAGAUGGUGUUGGGUUUGGUUGUUCUGCGGGUGGUGAAGUGACUUCAGGUUCAGGUGGGGUUUGUGUUGGCUGUUGUGAGGCCAGAGUCUGAGCGUGAAGUUGGGCUAGGGUGGGAGAUGAGGGGUCAUAAUGUUUUGUGUCUGAUGAAACAUUGUAGUAGGGAGGUGAUUCUAGGGAAGAAGAUGAAGAGGUGGUUUCAUUCAGCAUUUCUGCGUCAGAUAAAGGUAAGGUGGUGGUGGCAAGGUUCAAUUUCUGGGAUGGUUGAUGAGAUGUUUUGGUGGUUGAAGGAGGGGUUUCUGAGUGAGUGUAGAUAGGUGUUGGUUGAGGGAUAGAAGAAGCAAUGGGUUGUGUUUGUGCAGAGGGAGCAAGAGAGACAGACUUACCAGAAGGCUCAUGCAGAGGUGUUGGAGGUCUAGAUCCGGAGGAUUCUCCUAGUCUUGCCUUCUUCGCUUGUCUCGCCUUUUCGAGGGUCCUCGUGGAUGUUUUAUGAAGUUUGGAGCCUUAUCUGGGAGAUCGCUUAGGUUGAAGUCUGAGAUAUCCACUCCUUCUUUCAUUAGAUUAUCCAGAUAGAAAAGGAUUACAUCUCGGGGGUCUUCCUUUGAGAACAGAUAGAGUCCAUGGGGAAUCUCCCUCUGAUCUUUUAGAGCUUCCCAGGAGGUGUCCAGAGUAGGUUUGAACUUGACCUGAUCCAGAAUCCCCAUGCUCUUCAGGUUUUUGGCGUUGAGAGGUUUUCCAGUGUCGAUCAUCACAUCUUCCAUGAGUCUGAGCUUUAACAGGUGGUCCACCAGGCGACUUUCAAUCAGAACGUCAGAGAUUAACCUUCCUAGAGGAAUGUAGUUUCUGGGCUUCAUGUGGUUUCUUGUAUCUCGUACAGAGUCUCUGAGAUACUUGAAAAGAAGUGCUGGAAGGCAGAGCUUCAGACCCUUGUGGAUGCAGUAGAGAAUGCACUUCUGGUCUGUGUUGAUGUAGUCUGAGGAUUUUGACGCUGGGCGAUGAUGGAUGGUACCCAAAAUGAUCUUCAGCCAGACACGGAGGUUCUGAUGUAGCUCCUUGUUCUUGGAGGGGUUUCCUUCUGCGUUUUGCUUGAAGAUUGUUGGGUUAAUCUCUUGGGACAUGUAUUUUUCCCUAGGAUUGAUGUUGUAGAUUCUUCUGCCUCCAUCCUUUUCCAUGCCCAGAAGAGUAGCAAUGGACUUCUCAGUUAUCACUAUCUUGACUCCCAGAACAUAGGAGACAAUGAAGUGAUCAUCAGCAUUAGCGAAUCUCCAGAAUUCCUUCAUAAGAUUUGUGUAAACUGGACCAUAUAGACAUUUGAAGUAGUUUCCCCAACCUUGAUUUCUGAGUUUAUCUGUGAGGUCAAUGCCAUUUCUACGCAUGUUGUCAAAAUCCACCAAGGAUUCACAUAAUACUUCCAGCUUCUCAAAUGGCGUUGCAAGGUUGAUGUGAGGCUCACGAUCAAGAAUGUGAGGCUCUUGUAGUGGAGUGUUGACUAAAACCGCGUAACCGCUGGGUUUGGGUUGCUUGAACUUGGAGCUUGUUUCGUUGAAUCCAUUUGUUGAGAGAAGUUGUACACAACUUAUUAUUGAGCAUUUCAUGAUAUGUUGAAAACUGGGAUGAAGAUGAGAAUGCUGCAGGAAUGCCUUGAGAGAGCUUGAGCUGCAGAGGUUUAAGAGUUGGCGUGAGAGUGAAAAGUGUGCAAUGUGUGAAAUGAUGUGUUUAAAUACCCAAAUUAGGGCGCAUGCAAAAUGACACAUAAAACAGAGUUUAACCACGAAAACCAAGUCAGCACGUUUAGGGGGAAAGAUUACAUCUCAUUAAUGAUGUCUAAUCCCAACAGCCAGUACACUGCUCGAGGAGAUCUCAAGAGACUGUUCCUUGAUUACUGCUAGACAGCUGUCUAGAAGUUCCAAGGUCAGACGCAAGGUACUCCACGUGUUUGCUUUAUCUGAUCUUCAGGAAUACCAAAGGAUUAGUUCCUGGAGAUUUCUAACUCAGAUAACUUCUAACUUGGUAGGAGUAUCAGAGUCAGAGGCAAAAUCCAUUGUGUUUACAUUAGAAUUUCAUUUUACAACUUCAGAGGCACAUAUUAUUCAGGGCAAUUUUGAAUGUUCAGAUUCUUUAGGAUGAAGAGGAAUCUAUCUUCAACUAAGGGUUUAGUAAAUAUGUCAGCCCAUUGAUGAUCGGUAUCAAUGCAUUUCAAUGUUACUACCCCUUUCUGAACAUAGUCUCUGAUAAAGUGAUGUUUUAUUUCUAUGUGCUUAGCUCUAGAAUGUAAAAUGGGAUUCUUGCUUAAACAAAUGGCAGCAGUAUUAUCACAAAAGAUAGGAAUGUUACUCUCAAAGAUUUGCAGAUCCUCUAACUGAUUCUUCAUCCAGAGCAUCUGAGUAGUGAACAGUGAUGCUGAGAUGUAUUCCGCUUCUGCAGUGGACAGGGCUAUGGUUGAUUGUCUUUUGCUGGCCCAGGAUAUCAGAUUGUUUCCCAAGAGCUGACAAUUUCCAGAUGUACUUUUUCGUUCCAUAAGUGGACAGGGCUAUGGUUGAUUGUCUUUUGCUGGCCCAGGAUAUCAGAUUGUUUCCCAAGAGCUGACAAUUUCCAGAUGUACUUUUUCGUUCCAUUCUGUCUCCUGCGUAAUCUGCAUCACAAAAAGCAGAUAGUAUAUACUCUGAUGUUUUCUCAUACAUCAGGCCCAGGUUAGGAGUUCCUUUCAGAUAUUUGAGAAUUCUCUUAACUGCUAUUAAGUGAGUUUCUCUAGGAUCUGAUUGGAAUCUGGCACAGAGACAAACAUUAAAUAUAAUGUCAGGGCGAGUAGCAGUCAGAUAGAGAAGGGAGCCUAUCAUACCACGAUAGAGCUUCUGACAAACCUUCUUACUGACUUCUUCUUUUUCAAGAAUGCGGGUGGGAUGCAUGGGUGUCUUUGCAGAAUUGCAUUCAGCCAUAUCAAAUUUCUUCAGAAUGUCUUUUAUGCAUUUGCUUUGAUGAACGUACGUGACUUCUGAAGUUUGAUUUAUUUGAAUUCCUAGAAAGAACUUUAGUUCUUGCAUUAAGCUCAUUUCAAAUUUUGCUUGCAUUAGCUCAGAGAAUUCUUGACAUACAGAGGCGUUAGCUGAACCAAAAAUGAUAUCAUCAACGUAUAUCUGGCAUAUCAUGAGAUCAUUAUUAAUAUUUUUAUAGAAGAGUGUGGAGUCAACUUUCCCUCUGAUAAAAUCAUGUUCCAGAAGAAAAUUACUUAAUCGUUCAUACCAAGCUCCGGGAGCUUGUUUAAGUCCAUAUAAAGAUUUCUUAAGUUUAAAAACAUGUUCUGGAUAAUUUGAAUUUUCAAAACCUGGAGGUUGAUUGACAUACACUUCUUCUGAUAUAUAACCAUUAAGGAAUGUGCUCUUGACAUCCAUUUGAUACAAUUUGAUAGAAUGAUUUAUAGCGAAUGAUACAAGUAAACGAAUAGAUUCUAACCUGGCGACUGAAGCAAAGGUUUCAUUGUAGUCAAUACCUUCUUGUUGACUGUAACCUUGAGCCACCAGUCGAGCUUUGUUUCUGACAACUUCUCCUUUCUCAUUCAUCUUGUUUCUGAACACCCAUCUGGUUCCGAUAACGUGAGUGCCUCUGGGCUUAGGAACAAGAUCCCAGACGUCGUUCUUUGUGAAUUGAUCUAGCUCUUCUUGCAUGGCUAGAACCCAGUCGCUAUCUUGAAGUGCCUCAUCACAGGAAGUAGGCUCGAUCUGAGAUACUAGUCCUAGAGGAGUUUCUUCAGAAGUCUUGAAGGUUGACCUAGUUCGGACAGGUUCGUCCUUAUUUCCCAGAAUCAACUCUUCAGAUAUGUUGAGGCGACUUUUAGCUUUCUUUGGGAUUACUGGGGAUUUAGUUCCUUCCGAAGUUUGAAUGGUAGUUGCUUCUGGGGCUUUAAUCUUCUCGUCAGAACCUGCAAGAGUGAUCUCCAGAUCUGCAAGUUUCUCAACUAGCUUUGACUUUUCAGGGUCAAGCUUAUCAUCAAAUCUGACAUGAAUUUGAUUCUUUCCAUAAUUUUGGUUUUUGUAUUUGUAUACUUUGUAGCCUUUAGAGUGUUCUGAGUAUCCUAACAUAAUACCUUUUUGUGCUUUAGAAUCAAACUUGUUCAAAUGUUCUUUAGUAUUAAAAUAAAACAGGAACAUCCAAAAGAUGAAAAUAUGAAAUGUUUGGUUUUUCUUCCUUUACACAGUUCAUAGGGAGUCUUCUCCAGAAUAGGUCUUAUGGAGAUUCUAUUCUGAAUGUAACACGCUGUAUUUACAGCUUCGGCCCAAAAGUGCUUAGCCACAUUUGUUUCAUUGAUCAUAGUUCUGGCCAUCUCUUGGAGUGUCAUAUCCUUCCUCUCUACAACUCCAUUUUGUUGUGGAGUUCUAGGGCAGGAGAAAUCAUGGGAUAUUCCAUUAGAGUCAAAUAAUUCCUCAAAAAAUUUAUUUUCAAAUUCCCCACCAUGAUCCCUUCUAACUCUGAUAAUUUUAGAGUUGAAUUCUUUUUGCACUUUGGAACCGAAGCUAGUGAAUACAGAGUGAGACUCACUCUUGUGCUUUAGGAAUUUUACCCAUGUCCAGCGACUGAAAUCAUCAACAAUGACUAGUCCAUACUUCUUUCCAUUGACUGAUGUUGUUUUCGCAGGACCAAAUAAAUCAAUGUGAAGAAGUUCCAGAGGCUUAGAGGUAGAAACAAUAUUUUUCUUUUUGAAAGAUGUUUUUGAAAAUUUUCCUUUUUGACAUGCUUCACACAGAGCAUCUGAAGAAAACUUCAGCUUAGGUAGGCCUCUGACUAACUCGAGUUUAUUUAGCUGACAUAAUUUUCUCAUGCUAAUGUGGCCCAAGCGUCUAUGCCAUACCCAUUGCUCUUCGUGAACAGACAUCAGACAUUUCACAUUUUGUUCUUUUAAAUCAGAAAGAUUUAUUUUAUAAAUGUUGUUUUUCCUCUUUCCAGUGAAUAGGACAGAACCAUUAUUUUGAUUUAUGGCUUUACAUGUUUUUUGAUUAAAGAUUACAUCAUAACCGUUAUCACUUAAUUGACUUAUUGAUAACAGAUUAUGCAUUAAUCCUUCUACAUUAACACAUCAGACUAUAGAGGGAAGAGUACACUUACAAUAGUUCCGGAGCCUCUGAUCCUCCUUUCUGAUCUCCCCGAAGCCUACUGAAUCCAGCAUCUUUAAGUCCAGGCUUUGGAACAUAGACUUCUUCCCGAAAUGUGUCAGCGAGCAUCCAGAGUCCAGGUACCAUUGUUUUAACUCUGCUGCAUAGGAUAUCUGCAACAUAAACAAUCUUAUCCUUUGGUACCCAGAGUCUUUUGGGUCCUUUGUGAUUAGUUUUCCCAGAGCUUCUUAACACUUUGGGUUUUCUAGCAUUAUUUAAUUUUUGCUCUUGUGUGUGUGUAUAGCGAUAUGAAAAUGGAGAUUUAGGUUGGUCAUGAGUAGAAGUUUUAUCUUCACUAGGAUCAUACCCAAUUCCUCUUCUAUUAUUCUGACUGACUCCAUAAAUCAUGGAUGCCAUUAUACUCCUCCCUAUCCCAUUUUUCAGAAACUUUUGAAAAGCUUUUUCAUAUUUAUAAAUUAUUGUGUUUGAUGUUUGUGGAGCUUGAGAUAACGCUUCUUCAAGUUUUGAGCAAUUUUUCUUUGUUGCAUCUCUUUCUAAUGUCAAAGUUUUGCUUUCAUCUUUUAGUUCUGAAAUGGUUAUCUCAAGUUUGCCACAUUCUUCUAAUGUUUCUUCAAGAACGCCUUUUAUAGCUUUAAAUUUUUGUUUUAGUUUCUGAUAUGAGCUGAGAGUUUCAGACAAACAUGAUUCUAGGUCAAAUCGAGAGAGUUCAGAAAAUACCUCUUCUGAUUCAGAUUCUUCAUCUGAAGUGUUCUUGGAUGUGGUAGCCGUGAGUGGCACAUUAGCCUGUUCAUCAGAGUCUGAUUCUGAUGAGUCAGAUUCACUGUCAUCCCAGGUAGCCAUCAGUCCCUUUUUGGUUCUGAGGGAAUUUUUCUUGAAGCUCUCUUUUCUGGAACUGUCUUUCUUUAACUUGGGACAUUCGUUCCUGUAGUGACCUAUUUCUUUACAUUCAUAACAAGUAACAUCUUUGUUAGUUUUACCUUUUGAGGUUGAGUUUGAUCGGUCCCCUCUGGGUCUUGGUCUCCUGAAGUUAUUAUUCCUCUUUCUCCAAAGUUGUUUUACUCUUCUGGUUAGGAGGGAUAAUUCUUCCUCAUCGUCAGAAUCUUCCAGUUCAGAGUCAUCAGCAUCUUCUGUUUCAACCUGGAAGGCUUUGUUUCUGUCAGACUUGCGCCUUUCAGAUCUGGACUUUAAUGCUACAAACUUGAUCUUCUUCUGAGGCUCAUCUUCCUCCAGUUCUAUCUCAUGACUUCUGAGUGAACUGACAAGCUCUUCAAGGCUGAUGUUGUUCAGAUCCUUUGAUAGCUUUAAGGCUGUACCUGGGUCUCCACUUCUUUGCAAGCUUCUGACUAUCUUUUGACAUGGUCUGCAGUUGUGUAUCCUUUGUCUAGCACUUUGAGACCUGCAAUAAGAGUUUGGAACUUAGAAAACAUUACUCUACAGCUCAUCAUCCUCCAUUUUGAAGCUCAUAUUUCUGGAUUAGAGCCAGAGCCUUGUUUCUUUGACCUGAGAGUUUCCUUCAUGAGUCAUUCCUCAGGGAGUCGAGUAUAUCUUUAGUUGUUUCCCUGUUGGUGAUUUUUUCAUACUCAUUGUAAGAUAUGGAAUUGAGAAGUAUCGUUCUGGCUUUGUGAUGAUUCUUGAAUUCGCGCUUCUGAUCAUCUGUCAUUUUACUUCUGGGAACAGCAACUCCAGCAUCUGUUACAGGAGGUUUGUAUCCAUCUGUGACAAUGUCCCAGAGAUCAGCGUCAUAGCCCAGAAAGAAACUUUCAAUUCUAUCUUUCCAAUAAUCGAAUUUCUCUCCAUCAAAGACUGGAGGCUUAUCAUUCUAACUGUCUCUUUCAUUGGUGUGGGCCAUAGUUUUUCUUGUUCUGGAUCUCUCUACACGGUUAAGUGUUUGAUUUAAAAAUCAAUAAUAGAGCCGAAGCUCUGAUACCAACUGAAGGUGAGAAAAACUAGAAAGGGGGGUUUGAAUUGUUUUGGAAAAUAAAGGCUUUUUCAAAAAUAAGAACACACAGAAUUUUAUACUGGUUUGCUUAUAACACAAAGCUACUCCAGUCCACCCGGCCAAGGUGAUUUCGCCUUCAAAAAGGACUUAAUCCACUAAUCUUGAAAGAUUAAUACAACCAAACGUCUAAGAGAGUGAUCUCUUAGUCCUCCCAAGUAUACAGACUACGCAGAGUUACUUGAGGAACAAAAGCAAUUUAGCAAUAAUAGAUUUGUAAUCGAGAGUGCUUCUAAAGGUAAGCAAAUAUUACAGCAGAAUAAGCAAGUAAGUGUUUUCACGUAUGAGCAGCAGCUCGUGAAAAACUGAGAGAGAAUGUAAAGAAUUUUUUUGUGUGUUGUUGUAUCUCUCACUGAAGUAUGUUGUCCUUUAUAUAGUGGUGAAAGGACCGUUGGAGUGAUGACAGAAUAUUGGCCUUUGAUGAGCAUUCAAUGUCAUUACUUCUGUGUUUCUUUCCAUAACCAAUUUGUCUCCCUGAAUAACUUCUUUCUAAAAAUACUUUCUUUCCAUUUGAAGAAGUUCUUUCCGUUACUCUUUCUGGAUUUGGAGAAUCUUCAUUAGAGUCUUUGUUAUCUCAGAGUUUCUGUGUCAACCAGAGAUUGCAUUGAGGUUACGUCAGAGCUUCUAAGAGUACUGGUCUUUUAGAUCAUCAGAACUGAGUCCGGUGGAAGUUUAGAGCUUCUGGUAUUCUGCUAUCAUGUUUUGCUCAGAAUCAGAACUUCUAGAGCGCACUUCUUCUUCAGAUGCUUCUGAUCUUCUAGUACUUUGUAUCUGAUCAGAGUUUGUAUCUGAUAAAUAGAUCAGAUUCCUUUGUAGCUGUUCAGAGUCCUGCACACUUAGAGAAUUUUCGUUAGGGUGCCAUUUUUGGUUUCAUCCUUUGUUAUCAUCAAAAUCCUGGAAUUAUAUUGUAGAACUAAUCUUGUUCUUACAAGAUCCCUCAUGUUAUCUCAUCAUUUGCAUUGGCUUUGGGAUCACACCUUGGCCUCCUCCUUACCCCUCAUUCAUUAGGAUUUUAUUGGGAGAGAUCACCAAGCACAUUUGAUUGUAUAAUACUUUAUUCUCUUUUGUUUACUAACCAAAACACCAAAAAUACGUCCUUGUAUAGCUUUGUUUCUUUUUUAGGUAGUGUGUGCAUCCACAUAUGCCCUAUCAAGCUCACAAGUAGGGUUUGAGACCCUCAUAGCAAGAGAUCAAUCAUGGGAUGUUUCACCAUUGGUUAUAAACAUCAUAUAUGGAUCCCCAUGUUCUUCAUUUAUCAUUUUGAUCAAGUAUUCAUCAAGAGUUUGAAGCUUGUUUGCCUUUGAAGCCCUAAUUCAUCUGGGUAUCUUGUGUGACUUCCUUAGCAAGUUUCUUCAACAAUUGUUCAAAUGUAUCAAGGGAUACUUCAUUAUACAUCCUCUUAUGCAUAUAUGAUCCUCCAUGAACUCUAAAUAUCAAUAGAACUUCAAGUUUGCAAAUUGGUUCAAAGAGGUUGACCAGAGAAAGUCAACUGGUCAAAACAGGGGUUCCAUAGACCCUAUCACCUACAAUUUUUGUCAUAUGAAAAUGAUUCCAAGAGCAAAUUUACUCUUUAUGACAUUCCAAAAAAUUUAAUGUUGGAAUCAAGAGGUGGUUUUUCUUGGAAAGUCAUAUUUUAUGGUGAAAUAUUAUAGGUCAUUUUGUAUGUGCCCUAGUUAGGAGGUCAACUUUCAAGGACCAUAACUUGCUCAAUAUUUAUGACAUGAAGGCAGUAAAAGUUUCAUGAUCAAUUACAAGAUGUAUUCUCCAACUUUUAUUAUUUGAUAAAUUCCAAAAUCUACUUGCAAGGGCAUGUUCCAAGAGGAAACAUUAUAGGUCAUUUUGGGCCAUUACCAUUGAACAAGCAUUUUUCCUCUACUUCUAAAAUGCAUAACUCCAUCAUGCCAAAUCCAAAUUAUGUCAAAUUUGAUACCAAAUUUAAGAGGAAUGAAAGUUCUAAAACUUUGGUGAAGAACCCAUUUUCAUUUGGAGCUCAUAGCAAAAGUUACUCAAGGUGGAAGAAGUGGUCAUUUGACUUUGUACUUAGAAAAUUUUCAACUAUGUUUGAUUUCUCCCACUUACACCUCAAAAUUCAUCACGAUCAAGAUCCAAAUGGAAAGGUGUUCAACAUCAAAGUUGUUCCCCUUGAUGUCUCCUUUUCAAAAAGUCCAAGAUCAUGGCAUUUGGAGCAUUUUACAACGACUUACGCAUGGUUAACUUUCAUGGUCCCAUUUGGAUGAAUCACAUGACCAUUCUCAAGUACAAUUGCAUGACCUCAUGUUAAGCUUUCAGCAUCAUUCAUGCACAUUUGUGGACCUUUUCCAAUCAUUUUAUGGGCUUAUCACACACCCAUGCAAGCAUGCACUAAUAUUUCUAUUUUUGACCAAUUUUGGGAAGUGUGUGAAAAGCAAUGCAAAACCCUAUAAAUACAUUGCUCUUAUGAUCAGAAUGAAGAGCCUCAUUACCCAAGCUUCAAAUUGCAUCUUCCCAAACCUCCAUUGAUAGGAUAACCUUAAAGAUUUCCCUUGAAAUCGAGCUUCAAUUCCACUUUUUCUUAGGAUUGAAACUCCGAGGGUCCAAGCCUUUUGAUCAUCCAUUUCAUCUCCUACAAGCAAGUAGAAGCAAGCCAAAGCCAAUUGAGAUCCAAAUCGAGCUUCAUCACUGCAAACAAAAGGUGAAUUUUGUGAAACUUUCUCUAUUCGAUUAUCUCUCAAUUCUACAUUAUUUCAAGUAAUUUUUGGUUGGUUGAAGUCCUAUCAAUGUAGGCAACAAGAUUGAGUUGCUUUGAGGUUAAAUCGAAGUAACUCAGAUCAUGCACCUCAAACUUCAAGUCAACAUAUCUUUCAAUAUACUUGGAAUUAGGUGAAAUUGAGGACAUAUUCGAGCUCCUGAGCAUUUUUUCUUUAAAAUAGUGUAUUCACGUUUUAUUUUAAUGGUGGUUGGUGGUGGACCAGUCCGGUGAGGUCCACCAGAGAAUAUGACCGGAGCUAGGGCUCCGGUGGUGUGUUAGCAUCUUCCCAACCAUUUGAUCAUGUUCAAACAUUUUAAUCCUGGCCUUCGCUUCUAAUUACCACGUGUGUACACGUGUUGACUGUGGUACCUGAUGGAGCGCACGUUGUGGCCAUCAGAUCAGCCACCUCAAUUAAUGAGGGAGAUCUGAUGGCCCUCGUUUUUUCUCAUUUUAUUUUAAUUCUUAUUUUCUGUUUAAUUCCUUUAUUUUUUUUAAUUCAUAAUAAUUUCAUUUUUAAUCCAAAAAAUAUGGGAUCUUCACCAAAAAUAUUUAAAUAUUUUGCUCUUCCAUAUUUUGAAUUAAAAUUAUUUUUUGGAUUAAUUUUGAUAUUUUUCAUGAAUGAAAUGAUUUUGUACAUAUUUUUAAUUGUUUUAAAAUAGUUCUGACAUUCCAAAAAUAUUGAAAUUUUUUGUCUAAGGUCUUUUGACCUUGUUUGACCUAUGACAAAUCCAUUGAUCAUUUAUUUGGUGUUUUGAAGGGAUUUGAGGUUUUGUCCAUAUUAAAAUGGAUUUUAAUUCACUUUUAAUUUGAUUUUUAAUUGAUUAAGUGUUUAAAAAUUAUGUUGAGCCAUUUUAAUGGUCUUGUGAUGUUUGACUUUCUGUUUGGGCCUUGGUCAUGGUUGAUUUGACUUUUAUUUGAUCAAAACCAUUGGAUUUAGGGAAUUGAUGAAAUGUACAUUUCAUCUCCCAAAAUGAAUGGGUGGUAUUAAUCAGAUGAAAUUCCUCUCAUGAUCAACUUGUGUUUCUAUUUCCCCUCCCUCUUCAUCUUCAUCCCUAUUCUUUCCCAAUCCUUCAUUUGACCAAUGAUUUCUCUAAUGUCUAAAUGCUAGUUGGUUCAUCAAUAACCCUGUGUCAGAUGAAUCAACAUGAGCCACACUGAGAUAGGUCAUCCCCCCAUUUCUUUUAGUGUGUGGUAUGUUUUAGGAAUUUGGUUCUUUGUACCAAAUCUCUAACAUGCAUUAACACCUAUAUUUUUAUUGCCCGACCUCAGAUAGUUGUGACAUCUACAUAAGUCCAAUUACGAUUGCUUAAUAUAGAGCUAAAUUUGAUCAAGAAGGAAUAGCAUUCUAGUAAGUGAGAUUAUAAGUCUCUCAAUCUUCAUGGCAUUGUGUGGAUACUUGACCUUUUUCCCUUUCAUGAGAGUUAGUGGCAUACUUGUUGAUUUAUCCAAGUUGGAUCCCUUCGCAUGGAUGAUGACUUGGUCUAAGGAUUCAUACUUUUGAAUGAAUGAUUGAGUGUUCUCCAAAAAAUGACUUAAUCAAUUAAAACUCAUCACUAACAUUUUGACUAACCAUUGACUAACUUCUUAAUUAACUUUGCUUUACUUUCAUGUCAUUUACUUUAUGCAAUUUAAAAUUCAGUACCUUUAUCAUCCAUUGCCAUUUACAUUUCAUGCAACUUGUUUAUGUUUCAAGUCCUUUUCACUUUGCUCAUUUGAGCCAAUAUCUGGUAAUUGUAUGUAUUGUUUGUUUGUUUUGAAAUUUUUUGUGGUCUUAGGACCUUAAAACACCUAAUAACAACAAAAACCCUAAAAAAAAUCUGGUUGUACUGUUGGGAUUUGAUCUGAACUUCUGGACUUAGAAUUAGACAACGUUCCCUGUGCUAAAGGACUUGACCAAUGCCAAUAUUUGAGACUGGCUAUCUCUGCUUGUGCCUUCUCCUGAUGCAAGACCUUGAGUGUCCUUGAUUCAUCUGUUAAUCUGCCUUUGUGCUUAAUUGUUAUUUUUUUAUUAUUGUCUAUGUCUGAUGUUUUGUUAUGAGUUGAUCAAAAAAUAUUUCAUCUGAUAGAUUGGAAGACACUAAAGACUGCUAGCUAUUGGAAUGUUUGCUUGGAUAUAAUGGCUACAUUUAUUUGAUGCCUUGGUCUUCAUAUGAUGCUUGGAUAUUUUUCAUUGCUUAUUGCUUAUUGCUUGUCAAAGUCCAAAGCAAAUGGUUUCUAUAUGACAUUCUUGUUUGUUGGAUUGCAUCCCAUUGGUCAGACCUUUCAACCCUUAACUUUCAAAAAAAUUACUAGGAUAGUUUCUUCAUCUCCUCCCACUUCUUUAAUUUCAAAAUCUCUCCCUCUUUUCAAAAACUUUCUUUGCUUGUGAUUUCAAACUUAGACGUGUUUUAGUAAUUAGAAAUUUUGGCCUUAUGCCAUUGAAUUUUCAAACUUUUUCUUAAAUCAAAAUUGUAAAUAAAUUUAACCAUAUUGACUUAAAUUUCAAAAAGACAAAAAGAACUAAAAACCUCAUUCAAGUCUUUGGCCUAUUGUGCCUUUUUCUUUUAAAACUUUUGAUUAAAAUCAAUUCACCAACUUCUUUGAAAUUUUUAUCACGAACUUCAGGGUUUUGAUCCCUCAUUUUUAUGUUGGUACGUAGGCAUAAGACCGAAGGUCUUGUCAAACACAAAAAAAUAUAAUUAGUGAACUCUUUUCUCAUAUCCCCACUCUAUAUUUUUUUCAAACAUCAUUCAUACCCAAAAAACAUAUGCACAAAAAAAGGCCUCCCUAUGAGUACCUAGGACACUUUGGAUGUUAACACAUUCCCUCUGUGUAACCAACCCCAUUUCUUAUAAUCUCUAGUAUUUUAUUAGUUUUGAUUUGAAAAUUUCUUAUCUUUGGGUUUUGUUCGUACUUUUCCCUUUUCCUUUGGAAACAAUAAAAGCACGGUGGCGACUCUGGUUCUAUUGACGCCAAGUUUAUCCAUAGCUUGAUGGUCACGAAUUUACCGCUACAUAAAUUAAGUGGCGACUCUGCUGGGGAAUAGUCCUUAGUGGGUUUAGCCUACUUUUUAUGUGUCUGUGUGUGUAUGAUUAUUAUAUAUAUAUAUAUAUAUAUAUAUAAAUAUAUAUGUAUAUUUGAUGUUUGUUUGUAUAUAUUGUUGUGCGAUAUAUUUUGUCUGUUGUGCUUGGUGAUCUCUGUGUGGUGAGAUAAGUUAUAACCCGAACUUGAGUGCAAUCUAAGAUAGGAGGGUGGUAUAGUCAUGUUGGCUUUGAAGGAGUAGUCCUGAAAAAGUUGACAUGAGAUCCCCCACUCAGUGGAGACCUCUUUAGAGUUACUAAUGUCACACAAGUAAUUUGUGUAUAGGAAUUAAUUUCUCUAAUUUGGGGGUCCGAGAAUCUGAGGACUGUAGAACAUUUAACCCAACUUGGCCUAUUUAGGAAGUAGUGUGGAGAUUAUUCAAGUGUAGACUUGAUAAUAGUUGUUACACGAUACUACAUUCAGGCGAGUUUCUCUUGAUAAUAUUAUGGUUAAUGAGUCAGCCAUCCUAACCUAUAAUAUCUGAUAGAUGGGAUCACGACUCUAGGAACUUUUUAGAACAUUCUCUACAGGUUUUUAUCCUUAGUACACUCUUUUGGGAUGAACCUUAACCUGACUCCAUGCCCGUGACUCGCAAUAAACCCUUUAAUUCUCGGUUGAUCCGAUCAGUCUCAUCAAUAUCGAGGAAACUUAGGUGUUGAUAAGGUGAAAGCCAUAAUCCACAAAAAUGGAUGAUUGAUCUUGAUGAUGACCUAAUCCAUCCCUUGACAUUUGUUUGUGUUUGCCUUGUGUGUGAUCUCUUGUGUGUGACUGUUGCUUUCAUGCAUACAUGCGCAUCAUAACAUUCAUCACAGAAGAAAUAAAUUUCAAGGAGACUAAGGUCUUAUUUGCAAAUAUUUUCAGACCAUGGAUUAUGGACGAAGGAGCACUAAGAAGUACAGUUUCAAACGUCCUGAUUUGAAAGAGCUAAGGAAGUUGUCAUCCUUUGUAUUAGAUCCCUUGGUUUUCAAGCAACGUCAUGGGAAGCUCUUGUCUGUGUUAUCUACUGAUGUGGUUGAAGGACUUCUGAGUGUUUUAGUUCAAUUCUAUGACAUUCUUUAUCACUGCUUCGCUUUUCCCGACUAUCAGCUUGUGCCCGCGUUGGAGGAGUAUGCACAUCUCUUGGGUAUACCUGUAUCUGACAAGGUGCCUUUCAGUGGAUUGGAGUAGAUUCCUAUAUCUCAUGUCAUAUCUGAAUCUCUUCAUUUAAAGAAAUCUGAGAUUGAUGCUCAUUUGGUGGAAAAAAGAGGUAUUCUUGGGUUGACUUCUGAGUUCCUCAUUGGUAAAGCUACUGUCUUUGCUCAGGCCGGUAACAUAGAUACUUUUGAAGUCAUCUUUGUAUUGCUCAUCUAUGGUUUAGUUCUGUUCCCUAACAUUGACGGUUUCAUUGAUGUUAACUGUAAGACCCCAAUUUUGACCCUAAGAUCCCUCAUGUAAUUCCAUCAUAAGCAUUAGCAUUGGGAUCAUACCUUGGCAUCCUCCUUAUCCCUUUUCAUUGGGUUUGUUUUGGGAGAGAUCACCAACCACUUUAUGAUUAUAUCAUACUUGUAUUUUAUCAUUUCACUAACCAAAAUACCAAAAAUAUGUCUUUGUAUUUGUCUAACUCUUUUGUAGGUAGGGCAUGAUCUCAUUGAUUCAUCAAGAUCACAUAUAGGGUUUGAGACCCUCACGAACAAAGAGCACAACCAAGAAUUGAUUCAAUAAUGGUUAUGAACAUCAUAUAUGAGUCCCGAUGUUCUCUACAUGUUAUAUUGAUCAAGUUUUCUUCAAGAAUUUGAGGGUGAUUUACCUUGGAAACCCUAGUUUGACUGUGUAUCUUGAGUAACUUCUCCAACAAGCUAUCUCACCAAUUGAUCAAAUUUCUUAAGGGAUACUUCAAAAUUCAUCAUCUUAUGCAUAUAUGAUCUACCAUUAUCCAAGAAAGUCAAGAGAAUUGGAAGUUAGCAAGUUGGUUGAUGGUGGUUGGCUAGAUGGAUUCAUCUAGAAAAAAAACUGGGUCUCCCUAGACCCUAUCUCCUAUAAUUUUCACCAUAUGAAAAUGAUCCCAAGAGACAAAUUACUCUAAAUGACAUUAUAAACAACUUUCAUGUUGAUACAUAGAGCUAGUUUUUCUUGGAAAAUCAUUUUCUAUGUUGAAACAUUAUAGGUCAUUUUGUCUAAACCCUAAUUUGAAAGUCAACUUCCCAAGGCCAUAACUUGCUCAAAUUUUUAUGAGAUGAAAGAUUUCCAAGUUGCACAAUCAAAUUAAAUGUGUCUACUUAAACUUAUGUUUGGAGUGGGAGCUAAUUCAAAUUUUUUAAGCAUUGUGAAAUAUGAGGUUACAUUAUAGGUCACUUUUGACCUAUACCAUUGAUCAAGUGAUUUUUCCAAACUUCAAAAAUGCAUAACUUUAUCAUUUCAAAUCCAAAUGACAUGAAAUUGGUGACCAUUUUGAAUGUAUUUAAGAGAGCCAUAACUUUGUUGAAGACACGUUUGUCAUUUGAAGCUCAUAUAAAAUGUUAAGCAAGGUGGAAUAUUGAGACAUAUGGCUUGACACUUAGAAAAAAAUUGAUAUGUCAAAAAUUUCCAAACUUCCACCUCAAAUUUCUCCAAGAUCCAUGCUCCAAAUGAAAAAGUGUUGAACAUGAAAGUUGUUCCUCUUGAUCUCACCUUUCCAAAGAUCUCAAAUUCAUUCAUUUUGGACAAGAAAUGCAUAGGCUGCACAUGGCUUAAACAGGGUGACAUCACUUGGCAAGGAUAAAGCUUCAAACAUCAAUGUGCAUUUGCCUUGCAAUCCAAGCUUAAUUCAGAGCAUCUGAUAUUCAUUUGUGGACCUCAAACCAUCAUUUCAUGGGUUUGUGUGCACCCAUGCCCACUUGCAUCACCAUUUGCCAAAAUUGGAAGGUGAAUUUGAAGGUGCCAUUAUCAACCAUUUCAGCUAUAAAUAGAGCUUCAAUUGCUCAAAAAUUAACAUACAUUGGCGCCAGCUUUGAUCCCCCAUUUCAAACCCUCACUUUGCAAAGGAUAAGCCUGAAAAAUUCCCUUGAAUUUGAGGUUGAAUCUCCACUAUUUUGGAAUUCAAUUCUCCAGGAAUCCAUAGCUUUUUAACCAUUCAAUCCUUGUCCUGCAAGCAAGUGGAGUGAGACUAAGCACAAGAAAGAUCAAGAUCCAUUGAAUCCAAACCUACAUUGAAGGUAUUUUCCAGAAAUUUUGAACUCUUCGAUUCUCUCAAAUUCUUGCUCAAUUCAAUUGAUUCUUUGGUUGUCUGAAGUCCUACCAAUGUAGGAAAGAAGAUUGAGUUGCUUUGAGGCCAAAUCGAAGCAACUCAGUUCAUGUACCUCAAAUUUCAACUCCACGUAUCUCUCAAUAUACUUGGAGUUGAAGUGAAUGGAGGUCAGAUUCGAGCUCAGUGCCACUUUUUCUUUAAGAUCAUGUCCUUGUUUUUGAUUUUGGUGACGGUUCAUGGUGGACCAGUCCGGUGAGGUCCAUCGGAGAAGAUGACCGGAGCUCUAGCUCCGGAGAUAAGUUGGCAAAGCUCUGAACCACAUGAUCCGUUCCUUUUGUUUUAAUCCUGAUUGUUGGUUUUAAUUACCACCUAUGCAGCGUUGUUGACUCAAGUCCAUGUGGAACGCGCGCUAGGGACCAUCUAAUCUGCCACCUCAAUUAAUGAGGGAGAUCAGAUGGUCCACGUCUUUUUGAAUUUCUAAAUUUUUAUUUUAAUUGCAUUAUUUUCAAUAAUUCAUAUUAAAUUCAAUAUUGAUCCAAAAAAUAUGGGACUUUCAUCAAAAAAUUUCAAAUAUUUUUCUCUUUCAUAUUCUGAAUUAAAAUUAUUUUUUGGAUCAUUAUUAAUAUUUUUCAUGAAUUAAUUAAUUUUGCAUUUGUUUUUAAUUGUUUAAAAAUAUUUUUAAAUGUCCAAAAAAAUAUUCUGAAUUAAAAUUAUUUUUUGGAUCAUUAUUAAUAUUUUUCAUGAAUUAAUUAAUUUUGCAUUUGUUUUUAAUUGUUUAAAAAUAUUUUUAAAUGUCCAAAAAUUAUGAAAUUUUUUCUCCAGGAUCCUUUGACCUUGUUAGACCUAUGAUAAAUAUCAUGGCCAUUUCUUUGGUGUCUUGAUGAGAUUUUAGGAUUUGGACAAACCAUAUUUGAUUUAAAUGCAUUAUUUUAUUAUUUAUAAUUGAAUAAAUGCCAAUUAUUUUUGUUCACUACUUGUAUUGACUUGUUUGAGUUUGAUUAUUGUUGUUGGGCCUUGGUCAAGGUUGAUUUGACUUUGUCAAACUAAUAUCAUUGGAUUUAGGGGAUUGAUGGAAUGUACAUUCCAUCUCCCAAAAUGAAUGGAUGAUAUUAAUUUGGUAAAUGUCCUCCUUUGACCAAUUUGUGAUUUCAUUCUUUCCCCUCCCACUUCAUCUCAUUCCCCUUCUUCAUUCAUUCACUCUAUUUGGCCUAUGACAUCUCAAAAUCCUAAUGCUAGUUGAUUGAAAAAUUAACAUGAGUAUGGAUGAGAUUAGGUCACACCUUUUGCAUAUUUUUUGUGUGUGGUAUGUUUCAUGAGAAUAGUCCAUUAUACUAUGUCUCUAACAUGCAUUAACACCAAAAUUCUAUUGCCCGGUCUCAAAUAGUUGUGACUUCUACAUAAUUCUAAU
rnacentral:lncRNA from 1 species